GAGAGGUAUCUCUGGGCCCUCUCGGUAAUGCACAUCACUAUAAUCCUUGCAAGCAAUGUAGCUAAUGAGUUAGUUACGGAAUGAUGCAUUACGUAACGAGUAAAGAGACUUGCCGGUAACGAGAUUGAACUAGGUAUUGGAUACCGACGAUCGAAUCUCGGGCAAGUAACAUACCGAUGACAAAGGGAACAACGUAUGUUGUUAUGCGGUUUGACCGAUAAAGAUCUUCGUAGAAUAUGUAGGAGCCAAUAUGAGCAUCCAGGUUCCGCUAUUGGUUAUUGACCAAGAAUAGUUCUAGGUCAUGUCUACAUAGUUCUCGAACCCGUAGGGUCCGCACGCUUAACGUUACGAUGACAGUUUUAUUAUGAGUUUAUAAGUUUUGAUGUACCGAAGAUUGUUCGGAGUCCCGGAUGUGAUCACGGACAUGACGAGGAGUCUCGAAAUGGUCGAGACAUAAAGAUUGAUAUAUUGGAAGCCUAUAUUUGGAUAUCGGAAUGGUUCCGGGUGAAAUCGGGAUUUUACCGGAACACCGGGGGGUUACCGGAACCCUCCCGGGGGUUAAUGGGCCUUAGUGGGCCAUGAGGGAGAAGAGGAGGGCCGGCCAAGGCAGGCCGCGCGCCCCCUCCCCCUUAGUCCGAAUAGGACAAGGAAGGUGGGGGGGCGGCGCCCCCCUUUCCUCUUUCCCCUCCCCCCUUUCAUUCUCCACCAAGGCAAGAGGGGGGAGUCCUACUCCCGGUGGGAGUAGGACUCCUCCAGGCGCACCCCUAGGGGGCCGGCCGCACCUCCCCCCUCCCUCCUUUAUAUACGGGGGCAGGGGGGCACCCUAGACAACACAAAUUGAUCUUCGUGAUCGUUCCUUAGCCGUGUGCGGUGCCCCCCUCCACCAUAUUCCACCUCGGUCAUAUCGUCGCGGAGUUUAGGCGAAGCCCUGCGCCGGUAAAACAUCAUCAUCGUCACCAUGUCGUCGUGCUGACGGAACUCAUUCCCGACACUUUGCUGGAUCGGAGUCUGGGGUCGUCAUCGAGCUGAACGUGUGCUGCACUCGGAGGUGCCGUACGUUCGUUACUUGGAUCGGUCGGAUCGUGAAGACGUACGACUACAUCAACCGCGUUGUGAUAACGCUUCCGCUUUCGGUCUACGAGGGUACGUGGACAACACUCUCCCCUCUCGUUGCUAUGCAUCACCAUGAUCUUGCGUGUGCGUAGGAAAUUUUUUGAAAUUACUACGUUCCCCAACACUUAUGUUAUGUGAGGAGUAAUGUAAGAUGCAGUGAAACAUGAUGGACAUGGCUUCAUGACGGAGCUGGCGGAGAGAUAUAUCAAGGGUGAUGUUGAGGCCGGCGGCGGAAGAAAUGGCCAAAUGGGGCUCCUUAGUGCAAGUGAGAAGGCCGAUCAGUUACCAUGGAGCAAUGCAAUGUUGUAUCAUAACGUAUUGGGUUCCAUUUUCAGGUGGAGAAGAAGUGAUUAAGGCAUGUGCACGGUUCAUUUGUUCAUUCAUUUGAUUCUUCCUUAUUUCGCUCAACUUAUAUUCAUUUACUUUUGCACUUACCCAUGGUUGAUGGAUCAAGAAAUUAGUGACGUUUAAUUGCAAUUAGGAAUAUCAUAUAUCCAUAAAAAUCAGAACAUGUUCAUUAUGAGCCAGUAAGAUUUUGGAUUUUUAAAAUGCCUAUGGCAACGCACAGGCAUUCUACUAGUAUAUACAUGGGGAGGAGGCGCCUAGAACACACACCAACAAUUGUUAGCCGUGUGCAGCGCCCCCUCCAUAGUUUACGCCUCCGGUCAUAUAUUCAUGUAGUGCUUAGGCGAAGCCCUGCGCCGAUCACUUCACCAUCACCGUCACCACGCCGUCGUGCUGACGGAACUCUCCCUCGACACUUUGCUGGAUCAAGAGUUCGAGGGACGUCAUCGAGCUGAACAUGUGCAGAACUCGGAGGUGUCGUACAUUCGAUGCUUGAUCGGUCGGAACGAGAAGAAGUUCAACUACAUCAACCGUGUUGUCAAACGCUUUCGCUUUCGGUCUACGAGGGUACGUGGACACACUCUCUCACUCUCGUUGCUAUGCAUCUCCUAGAUAGAUCUUGCGUGAGCGUAUAAUUUUUUUGAAAUUGCAUGCUACGUAUUCCAACAUUAGACUCAUCCAUCUUCCUCCAGUGAUGAUUAAACCAAAGCAAUGAAGACCAAUGCUCUGAUACCAAUUAAAGGAUCGAGAAGAGGUGUCUAGAGGGAGGUGAUUAGACCCUCAACAAAGAAAAGUAGCAGUUUUUAAGUUCUUCAAGUUGAGGUGGAGUUUUAGCACAAGUUUAAACAUUCAUAAUACAUUUCAAGCAAGCAUGGCAAGAGUAUAUGAGCAGCGGAAAGUAAAGCAUACAAGUUGCAAAAAAGUAAAGGGAUGGGAUUGGAGUGUGCAAACGCAAUUGGAGACAUGGAGAUUUUUGGCGUGGUUUCGAUAGGUGGUGCUAUCAUACAUCCACGUUGGUGGAGACUUCAACCCACGAAGGAUAACGGUUGCGCGAGUCCACGGAGGGCUCCACCCACGAAGGGUCCACGAAGAAGCAACCUUGUCUAUCCCACCAUGGCCAUCACCAACGAAGGACUUGCUUCACUUGGAUAGAUCUUCACGAAGUAGGCGAUCUCCUUGCCCUUACAAACUCCUUGGUUCAACUCCACAAUCUACGAAGGCUCCCAAGUGACACCUAACCAAUCGAGGAGACACCACUCUCCAAAAGGUAAUAGACGGUGUGUUGAUGAUGAAAUCCUUGUUCUUGUGCUUCAAAUGAUAGUCUCCCCAACACUCAAAUCUCUCUCACAUAUUUGGAUAUGGUGGAAAGAUGAUUUGAGUGGAAAGCAACUUGGUGAAGGCUAGAGAUCAAGAUUCUUGUGGUUGGAUUGGAAUGCCUUGAUCUCAACACAUGAGUAGGUGAUUCUCUCUCAAAAAAUAAAAAUAUUGGAAGUGUAGGCACGUUCUGAUGGCUCUCGAGAAGGGGGUGGAGGAGUAUAUAUAGCCUCCACACAAAAUCUAACCGUUACACACAAUUUACCAAACUCGGUGGGACCGAAUAGUGAAACUCGGUGAGACCGACUUGGUUCAAAAUGUGAACGUUAGAGUUUUCGGUGGGACCGACAUGAUCAACUCGGUGAGACCGAUGCGCUAGGGUUAGUGCAAAACUUGAUCUCGAUUUGACCGAUUACUUCAAAUCGGUGAGACCGAUUUCAGUAACAAGCAAACAGAGAGUUGGUCGGGCAAACUCGGUGGGACCGAUUGCUCAUUUCGGUUAGACCGAAACGUUACAAAAAGGAAACAGAGAGUUUGCAUUGCCAACUCGGUGGGGUCGAUCGCUUAUCUCGGUUAGACCGAAAUGUUACGAAGGGAAACAGAGAGUUUGCAAUCCCUUCUCAGUGAGACCGAGAUCCCUAUCGGUAGAUCGAACUGGUUAGGGUUUCUGACAGUGGCUAUGUCAAAUGAACUCGGUGGCGCCAGAUAGAUCAAAUCGGUGGGGCCGAGUUUGACUUUAGGUUUAUGAUAUAUGUGGAAAUAAGAAAGUGGUUGAGGGUUUUGGAGCAUAUCACUAAGCACUUUGAGCAAGUAGACCAUUAAGUAACACCUCAUCCCCUUUUAACAGUAUUGGCUUUCCUAUAUAUGGACUCAAUGUGAUCUUGGAUCACUAAAAUAGAAAUGAAGAGUGUCUUGAGCUUUUGCCAAUCUUCUGUCCUUAGCAUCUAGAAGGGGUUCCACAUCCUCUUGUCCAUGUCACGCCUUUGUUGAACUUUCUGAAAUAUACUAGAUAAAAAUAUUAAUCCAACAAGAGAUAUGUUGAAAUUAAUUACUAAAAUCACCCAGGGAGCACUUGUGCUUUCAACCUUGCAAUGACACAUCUAAAUAGGACAUGGUUGCAAGUUCCAUCUUGGCCACACCAAGUGCACUUGCCAUCUCCUGGCCCUUUUUGUUUGAUCACCACUCAGAAUUUGGUUCGUCGCAACUCACCAAAGUUUUUUUAAAGGAAUCUUCGCCUUUCAGAUAUCGAUCACCUCACCUUGUGUUUUCGUCUUAAAAAAUUCACUGUAUAGCUAGGGAAUAAUUGUCGCGAAGGUUCCAUCCUUCAAAAAAUCUUGUCAUCCCCGUUGGUUAACCUCACCCCAUCUAGCUUGUCAUGGAGGAAGUCCCAAGCCGCCACUUCAAAGGGCCCAAACAAUUACUGGGACAACGGAGUGCAUAUGUCGUGCACUAUGACCUCCACGACUCUUGCGCUUGUAUUGUGCGUAAUGACAAAGAGUUGUUGGAAUUUGUCUCUAAGGGCCCCCUCCGCUAUCCCAUGUCCGAGCCAAAAGUGGGCAAGCUGCCCUUUUUUCUCUUCGAAUUUGAUAGGUGGCAAGCCUUCCCUAUCUCGAAGCUAAUUAUUUAGAUCAUUGCUCUCUAUGUAUGCAUCUCGAAUUACAUAGCAAGUGAAGUGGGUUUGAUUAUUUUUCGAUCGUCGCAGCUUAUCUUUUCUAAACAUGUGGAAUUUGUUAUUCAUUAUAUUUAUAUGUGUAAUUAGAAAAAAAGGCCCAACACACGGGCAUUCUACUAGUAGAGAUUAGGAGUGGAGAUCAACGAACAAAAAAACCAAAGCAACCUGGGAGAAUCGUCAACUGCUUGCGGCCACGGGUAUUUCCUAUUCGCCGCUCGUUGCGUCGAAAUGUUGACACAACACACAUGCCAACGACACGACCGGAGGAUCUAGGCCGACCCACUUAGCCAACUGGUUUUGGGAACCUUCUAGAUGGUUCCUAGAACCGGGUUUUUCUGUUUAUUUUCUUCUACUGGCUUUUUGGGGGGUUUUCUGUGUCUUUUUCUCUUUUUGUUCUUUUCUUUAUCUAUUCUCUUUCUUUUUCAUUUAUUAUUUUUCCUUCUUUCUUUUUGAAGUGCGAUUUUAUUUUCAAGAUUUUUUUAAAAAUUCAAAUAUUAAUCAGAAUAUCAAGAAAUGCUCUUGCUAAAAAAACAGAUUAAAAAAUGUUCAUAGUUUCAAAUUUUGUUCAUAAUUUGAAUGAAUGUUCCUUUUUCAAAUAUUUGUAAUUCCAAAAAUGUUCAAAAAUUCCGCAAAAUAUCACAUUUUAAAAAUUUGUUCACAAUUUCCAAAAAAGUUCUGAAUUUCGUAAUUUUUUCAUGAUUUCAGAAAAAAAAUUGGAGUUUCAAAAUUUUGUUCAUGUUUACAGAAAUUAUUCGCAAUUUCAAAAUUUGUUCGUGUUUUCAAGAAAGUUUAUUGUUUCAUUUCUUUUGUUUUUCUAAUAAUUGUUUGGAAUUUGUAAAUUUGUUUGUAUUUUGAAUAAAAAUGGUGUUUCAAAUUUUGUUCAUGUUUUCAAAAAUUGUUCACACUUUCAAAAAAGUGUUUGGAAUUUCAAAAUGUAUUCAUGUUUCUAAAAUGUUUAGACUUUCAGAAAAAUCUUGUUUCCAAAAAUUGUUUGGAAUUUCUAAAUUUGUUCAUGUUUUCAAAGAAGAUUUGAGUUUCAAAUUUUGUUCGUGUUUGGAUUGUUCGGAAUUUAAAGUUUUUUUUCUCAUUUUUCACUAUAUCUUCAUAAUUCCAAAAAGCUGUUCCAAGUUUUCAAAGAUUGUUCGCAUUUUGAAACGAAAUUGGAAUUUAGGAAAUUGUUUGUGUUUUUUAAAACAUUGAGUAAUGGUCAUUUAUGCUGCUACAGUUCGUCCUUUAGAGUUGGUGCUACUCAUUUUCACAUCCGUGUCUACAGUUCGGCUGGCUAGCGCGGUACCGACCACAACAGAACGUGUGGAGAUUGAAUUCCAGGUUGCGCAUUCUUUCUAUUUCUGAUUUUUUGCGCCCAACCAAUCACUAAGAGUUUUACUCCAAUGGGCCGGCCAGUUGCGCGCGCUCUGUGCGAAGAGGCGUCUGUUUGCCGCAUAAUGCGGUAAAUAGGAGGUCCCGUGGCCGCGUGCGUAUCCAGCCUCAACGAACCGCCGAAGGGCUGUUUUGGUAUGGGCGGCCACGUUUAUGUAGCUGGGCCGGCCACAUUAUUGCAGAGUCCAGACCUAACAUGACCCCCUUCUUUAUUAUCGGAGAAAACCUAGAUGCGUUCUGACCUCUCCCACAGCGGCGGCUGGAGGUCUGGAUCGGAGCGGCGGCGCGGUUGAGCAAAGAGGCGGCGCUCAAGGUACAUCCCCCCCUCCCCCUCCCUCUCUCCCUCUUCCCCCGCCUGGUCCCCGAUGUGGGUGCUGUGGAUGUGAGCGACGGCGGCGGGGAACAGGGUACUACGGAGGCGGGUCAUGGAGGCGCCGGCGGUUCCCGUCCCCCUCUCUCGUUUUCUGCAAAUUGUUAUGGACAGUGAAGCCUCUCGCUUUCUCUGCAGUUAACGCGGAGGAGCACAAGGCAACCCCUGCAGUCCGUUUCUCCCUCAGAAAUCACCAGCAUCUGGCAGUCCGUUUCUCCCUCAAAAAUCCAAGGUAUAACCCUACUGCACAUACAACUGUUUUUGGUGUACUUUUCUAUGAAUUGAUCGUGCAUAUAGGAUCACAUAUGUGUGAUUGUGUAUGGAUAGUGAGCAUGUGUUUGUUUGUGUAUGAACAGUGGGGUGUGCGCUAUUUCAAGUUAUAUGUCUGAGCAGGCUGUCUUGUUUUUAUGCCUCACUUGAUGAUGGAAUUGGCUGUUCAGUCUAGAAAAGGAAAAAUAAGUGAACACGUAUGUUAUGGGCCAAUAGAUGAGAAGGAUAGGAUGAGAAGUGAGUACCUAGAGAAUAAAGUAUAGAGGGAUGAAACAACCUGUGUGAACAUGACCUUUCUUUCUAUUUUGUCAACUUUUUAGGGACCGCAAUUUGCUUGAAGACACUAUUCAUUUGUCCAUUGAACAAAAUUUUGUUGUAGCUUGAUGCAUUAUUCACGAUUGGGUUAUAAAUGACGGGAUAGAUGAACUUUGUAUGAACUAUGAAGUAACUUAACUAUCAAAUGUGGAAAUGUGUGCAAAAGAAUAGGUAAAUUGUUUAACUAAUUUAUUAAAUGAAAGCAGUAGGUACUGGAUGUUACACAAAUUGCAUCCAUUGUCAUUCAAUACACAAAUUUCUUCACUCUAGUUUCUUGACUUUUUGCUCUGCUUAGCCAAGGUUAGGAAAAUCUUUUGUAGUUUGUGGUUGCCUAGCUACAUUUACAGUUUCCUAAAUAAUAGUUUAUUUUGUUACACGCUGUCAUGUGUGUUAGCAACCAUGAAUAGUACUUUACUAGUUUUUUGUAUAUGUAAGUGCUUUCUAGUAACCAGUGUGCUCCACAUCUUUUAAGUGAAAAUGGGCGCUGCCCCCCCCUCCCCUCCCCCUCCCUUCUCUCUUGAUUAGCGCAAGUUGUUAUGGACAGUGAAACUCGAUUCAAUUCUGUUCUUUUGCUGCUCCUCUUCUUUGUGUCAGAUCUGAUGCAUCUCUCCCUUUCUAUGCAGUUAACACGGAAGAGCACAAGGCAGCCUCUGCAGUCCGUUUCUCCCCCAGGAAUCAGCAUCUGGCAGUCCAUUUAUCCGAAAAAAUCCAAGGUAUAACCCUACUGCACAUACAACUGGUUCUGGUGUGCUUUUCUAUGGAUUGAUCGUGCAUAUAGGAGCAUAUAAUGUUUGUGAAUACGAGAUCCUAUGUGUGAUUGUGUAUGGACAGUGGGCAUGUAUUUGUUUGUGUAUGAACAGUGGGAUAUAUUUGAGUGUGUGCUAUUUCAAGUUAUAUGUACCGUAUGGACUCUGAGCAGGGUGUCUUGUUUUUUGUUCAAUUUUGCAUGGUAGAUAGACAAGAAGCGAAAGAAGCUAAUUGUUGCGAUUGUGUCAUAUAUGCUUAUCUUGAUGGCAUUGGCUGCAGAUCAGUAGGCACAGUAGAUGAGAAGGAUAGGAUGAGUAGUAGGAAAGAAUAUGGAAAUGGUUUACUAAUUUAUUAAAUGAAAGCAGUAGGUACUGUAUGAUGCGCAAAUUGCAUCCAUUGUCAUUCAGUACACAAAUUUCUUCACUCUAGUUUUUGGUCAUUUGGCUCUGCUUAGCUAAGUUUAGCAAAUUCUUUUGUAGUUUGUAGUUGCCUAGCUACAAUUUACAGUUUCCUAGAUAAUAGUUUAUUUUUAUUAUACUCUGUCAUGUGGGUUAGCAACCAUGGAUAGUAGUUUACUAGUUUUCAUAUGUAAGUGCCCUGUAAUACUUCUUGUAACUAGGAUGGUCCUCAUCUUUUAAUUGAAAAUAUGAGACCAUGAUGCACAGCUAUUAUGUGUUUGAAAGUUGUGACCAUGUAAAUGCAAUGACUGAAUUUAAAAGGUGUAGGCAGCUUUAGAUACAUGAUGUUAUUGCCUGGUUUUGGGAAUAUUCAAGCACAUAAAAAAGUUCUUACUGAAACAAGCCAUGUGUGAGGUUGAAGAUCUACUUGUUUUGGUUCUUACAAAAGUUGCAAUUGAGUUUAUAGCUAGUGUUUUUUGUCUGUUUUAAAUUGAUCGUUGUUAUUAUUGCUGCAGAUCAGUAGUCACAAUGCCGCGAUCAAAUGAAAUCUUACCUGGCCUACUAGCUGCGAAAGCUAUUGCAGCACGCCAUCAGAUCCGUGAGGUCAUUGAUGGCGUAGCACAGUUUGUGACCGAAGUCGGGCUUCGGCAAUGUGCCAUUCGAGAAUACAACGCCCAUCACAUCACCGGCGACGAAUCUGGUUACUGGAUGGCUGAGCUUGAGUGGGCGUACCGAGAAAUGGUGCCCGUGUAUGCAUCUGUUCAAGGAAUGUUCCUUGUGCGUGAUCCUCAGUUUGCAGCUGUGCUGGGAAACGAGCAGGAAAUACAGUUGAGAAACAUUCUGAUAGAUGCCAGGAAUACAGUUCACUCGAUCAACCGUUUGUUCGUGGUGAUGGGGAGCAGCGCAUCAUUGUUUGAGUAUAUUGUGAAUAAUUGCUCGCUUUUGGAUCCAGUAGCUCAUCAGGAGGCAGAAACCGUAUUAAGCGAGGCCACUAAUAUCGGUCGCCUCAUACAAGCUUUUGCAGGCCAUCUCCAGUUCCAUUUGGAGGUUAUUGCAAAUAUCUGCAAUGAGGGCAUGUUGGUUCCACCCUUGCACCAGGACUAGUCGAAUUAUAGGCCAAGGUAUUGAACUAAUGAAUCCAUUUCAUGCCUGUGUACUAAAUUGAUGCAUGAUUUCUUUUGCUUUAUGUAUGAGCUGUCCCUCUUUAGUUUGGUAAAUGUUCAUAUUGUCGUGUAGUAGUUUCAUACUAUAUUGGAAGUAACCUGAAUUUACUCAUUAUUUGGAAGUAAGUGGGGUAUGUGUCUGGCAUGGGUUGAUGGGAUAUACUCCAUCUGUCCCAUGAUAUAUGACAUUAUUACAUCCAAUAUAUUCACAUAUUGGAUAUAAUAAUGUCUUGUAUUAUAUGGGAUGGAGGGAGUACUUUAGAUGUAGAUCAUGACUUAGCUGACAGUCACUUAAAAUAUAUGCUUUCCAUUGCUGAAGACAGUAACUAUGUAUACUGUUCUGCACAUCAAGCUUAUCAGUACUCGUUAUCUGCAUUUGACGAGGACUGUGGGUCAAAAUUAGCCCAUGACACAGGAAUUACAGAAACUGUCGCUUGUGUGUGUUUGUUCUGAAAUUAUUUUAUUACCCCUGCUCUUACAACAGUUUUAGGAUUGCGUGUUUGGUUAAUACCUUUAUUUACUCUUUUAGGGUUGUAGUUGUUACAUUAGAUAGAAGUAUAAUGAUGUCGCUUGAUGUAUGCUUGCUUCAGCUCUGCUGUCGGUUCUUAUGGCGUUUUGUUCCUGCAGGCCUGCAGGAUAACAGAGAAAUGCGAAGGCAGGCUUUCAUUUGAAGCAAAUGUGAUUCUUCCGGUUUUGGUAGAGUAGAUGGCUGUGGUCGGUGGUAGUAAAACGAAUGGUGGAAUUGUUGUUAUAAGUGUUUUACCUCCUUGCGGGUCUAUCUGCAGAUAACAUGUUUUGCAGUAGUCUUAUCUUGAGACCUUUGACUUGAUGCAGUAUCUGCAGAUAACAUGUUUUGUAGUAGACUUAUUUUGAAUGGCGUUGAGGCAGUACAUCAGCUUGCCGGGUGGAUGUUAAACUGGUUAUCUUGUUGGGUACAUGUUCUUAUUUCCUUGUGUGGCUGUGAUAUUUUGUUGAGCAAUGCAUCUAUAGAAGAUGUAGAUGCAAAAAUUACGAACUUUUGCAUCUCUGAGGUCUAAAAUGGCAUCUCUAACUGAUGAUGUAGAUGCAAAAAAAAAAAAAAAAUACUUCACCUGCUCCGUGUUGUAAAAUAAAAUAUCUAGAGAUGCAAAUUUGCAUCUUCACAUCCCAGUUAUGUAAAAGUGAUGUCAUGCUCCAACUGCCAAUUGUCAUUUCUAGUUGUUCACCCACGCGUGUCUUCUUCCUCCCUCCACUUGCCGCGCCGCACCGUCGCGUUUGCCCUCCCACCACCCCCGCCGCAUGCCUUGAAUCGGGUGUUUUUUCGCUACUCCUUCGUCGACGUCCAUUGCUGCUCGUGGCCAAACCGGCCAAAUUGUGACGCACAGUCGUUGCCCUGAUUCGAGUGCCGUGCAACCAUGCCACCGAAGAAGGCCCUGAAGAGCAAGACGGGGUUCUUCCGAAGUGUGGACGAAGUCGUCCGUCAACUUCGACGUUGACUUCUACAACGAGGGUACCCCAUUGUCGACAAGGCCGCACGUGCGUAUGAUGUCGCUGCAUGGCGUGCCACAAGGCCAAGGACGGAGCUCAAUUUCCUGAAGAUUGAGACCUGGGCGGAUGCGGAGUUUCUCGUGCUAGAGAAUUUCCGGAUGGAGGAGAUGAAGAAGAAGAGGAAUAAGAAGCCGGCCAGCCGGAAUAAGAAGAGGAAUAAGAAGCCAGCGAUGGUGACGAUGGCGAGGUCUAUUGGAAGCGCGUGGAUGAGCAGAAGAAGAAGGGGGUGAAGAAAGAGGACGAGACCGGCCGCUCGACGGUGAUCCCCGUUGAGUCGGACUCGUCGGACUGUGAUGACUCAGAGGAGGAGGACGAGGGGUGCGACGACCCGAGAAAUGAUGAGUUCUGGGAGCAGUUCAGGAGCUCCAAUGAAGAGUAGUUUCAUCUUCGAUGUAGUUCAAGUAGUUGUUUGAACCAGUAGUAGUCGUUGGAGUAGUAGUAAUUUAAACUAUGUUUAUUAUGUUUUAAUUAGAACUAAUUAUGUUUAAAAUUAGAACUAUGUUUGAGUUAUGUUUCAAAUGAAGUAGUAGUUGAAUUUGCUAUGUUUGAAUUAUGUUUGAAACGAAGUAGUAGUUCAACAUCUUCAUAUACACCAUCUCUUGGAUUAGGAAUUUAUAUCACCACAUAAUAAGAGGGUGUUUGUUUCCAGGGACUUAUUGGCUUAGGGACUUAAAAAAGUCCCUAUAAGUCCCAUCUAAAUCAAACAGGAGGGACUUAUAGGGACUUAAAGUGGGCAUUUAGGACUUAUGUAAUAAGACUCUCAAGGAGGGACUUAUAGGGACUUAUAGUUGUAAUAUGGUCUUAUAGGGACUUAUAAGUCCUAGGAACCAAACAGGUAGGGACUUUUUAGGGACUUAUGACUUAUAAGUUGGGACUAAAAAAAGUCUUAGGACUUGUGAACCAAACAUGGCCUAAAUAUACAUCUUCUCUUGGAGUUGGCUAUUUUUGAAAAAAUGUAAAAAAACACUUUUUGGUGAUGUAAAUUAUACAACACCCACUUUUACCAUCAAAUUUGCAUCAUCUGUUGAGGAUGCUCUUACGAUGUUGACCAUAGAUAAGUAUGGAACACAACAAUGGUUACUGCUACUCAUAAUAACGAGCUUGAAGAGGUAACAAACAAACCGGACUAGACCGACUCUGAUACACCAAUGUGUUGCAAUAUUGCUGCCACUAGCACCAUGAGGACUAUUACUACUAGCAAAUGUUGUUUUUUUAAACCAAGGCAAAAGACUUGUCUCAUCCAUUAGUUAACAGAGGAAGAAUUCAGUUAUAAACAUAGCAAUGGCUCCACAACAUAGCCCAUCACAAGAAAGAGAACCACACGACAAUACAAGGAAGACUACUCUCGGGGCAUGAUGGUGCUUAGGUGCCUAGAUCCCGCGGUGAUCUAUAGCUUGGCCUCAUUUUGUAUAAGCUUGAGGAUGUAGAACAGAGGUGUCGACUUUUUCUUGAACACUCUAGCGUUUAUCUUGUUCCAGAUAAUCCAACAGACAAACAUGGUGAGUAGGGCUUGAAUUUUAACUCGAAACUCACGAGCUAAAUGAGUAGCUCUUGUCUCGGCUCGACUCGCCUUGGAAGUUGGCGGCCAAAGAAAGGAAGUUAAAAGCAGAGGAGAGUAGACUUGCACUUGAGGUGGAGAGGAUUCGUGAUGCCAAGAAGGCCGAUGGAUGUGCUAUCAUGUUAAUGGAUCCAACCACAAUGGAUGAAACCACAAGAAAGUAUUGGGAGCUCACUCGUGGGGAGAUCUUGACCCAAGUGGAAGCCUCUCUUCAAAAUGGUGGUGGUGAUGGUACCGUCCGAGAGGAUGGUGGUGGCGGUGAUGUUUUCUUCGGCGACCAUCUCGUUUGAGUUCAUGCAUGCCAUUGGUUGGCUCGAUCCACAACAUAUAUGAUUUUUUUUGUUUGCGGUGGUUUUGGAUCAAACAUUUGUGUUUGAACUUUGAAGUGACGCCUUUUGGAUGAACUAUGCAUGUUUUAUUUAAAAAUCACGAUGAUGAUACAUAUGUUAUGACGGUUAUGUUAUGCAUAUUUUAGUUUCAAUGUUGUAGUAUAUAGUGAAAUGUUUGAAGUUCAUGCGGCUAGAACACAAAAUCUAAACUUUUUUUUUACUCCACUAAAGUUUAGGGGAUCAGCUAGGUGCGGCCACCUAUAGAGGAGAAAAAAAUUUACUCCUCUAAUUAACUUUACUCGUUUGGAUUCUCCAUUAACUUUUAGGGGAUAGGUUAGAGUUGCCCUAACACUAACAGUUUGGAUAUAGCUAUGUGCUUAGGUGCGACUUCAAAAGGAAAUUGCCUGACCCUGAUACUAUUUUCAAGGGACUGGCAUAUAUAUAUAGCUAUGCCCUUUUCAGUCAAGCAUGAACAUGGCAUUUUUUUUUCCUUCAACUCUGCCGUUGGUUCUCAUGGCAUUUUCUUUGUGCAGGGCAUCAAAGAAACUGCUUUGGAGAAGUCGUGAUAGUAGCAAUCAGAGGCUGGGUUCAUUUGAAGCAAUAAUAAAUUCACAAGGUUUUGGUAGAAUAUAGGUGGGUGGGGUUGAUAGUAGUGAAAUUGUGUGGGUGUUUUACCCUCGUACGGACCGGUUUCUAUAUAUGUUGAAAAGUGCAUCGAGUCAUUAAUUAGCUAGCAAAUUGGCAAUAAACAUGUUUGGAACAAUCUUAAACUGCGUUGAGGCGGUAACAUGUUUGGAACAAUAUAUAUAUCUUGCACGGCGUUUUAAAAUCAGCAUUGCGUCAGAGGUGGGUCUUUGUCAUUUCAUUUUGGCCAGAAAUUAAAAUUGCCCGAUGGAUGUUAAUUAACCUGGUAGUUGUCCUAUUGCGACCCACCGAUAAAGCAGCACGAAUGCGGAGGCAGUAGCAUAGAUACGUAUAUGCAGAUUCUUCUCAAAUAAGAAGAAAAAAAAAACCGUAUUCGUGCAGAUAAUGAAAGACGGCGAUAGUUACUACGCAUAAUAAUCGACUGAAACUGGAGUGGUAACUUGACUCUGAUACACCAACGCAUUACAAGCAACAGCUGCUGCAACAACUACUACUAACUAGUAUGCGUUGACCGACCACCACCACAACUGACUCUGAAGAGCUAACAAACAAACAAACAAACCGGACUAGACUGACUCUGAUACAAUGCUGCCACCACCACCAUCAACAGGAGGAUUACUACUACUACUACUACUACUAGGCUGUUGACACGGAGAUAACUACUAUAGGAGUAGUAAUUAAGACCGACGGCAGGGCUGCUGUAUGUCGCAAUCAAUGCAACUAGCAAGCCUUGUCGAUUCGAUCGCACAAACGAAAACUGCAACUAAUUCAUUCUUUCCUGGACUGGACUGACUCUCCGCUCCUCCCUCCGGCCGGCCCUGAUGCUUCCGACGAUCACCGCAUCUGCUGCCUACACACAACAAAACAUGAGUGUUACUAGAAAUAGGGAUGAAUGCAUCAACUGAGAGAUUAAGGCGAGAUUAGAGAGAGAAAGAGAUGAAUGCAUCAACUGAGAGAUUAAGGCAAGAUGAGAGAGAGAUAGAGAUAUAUAUAUAUAUAUAUAUAUAUAGAGAGAGAGAGAGAUGAAUGAAUGCAUCAACGGCCCGUACCUCUGCUUGGACCGGAGGAGGGGCUUGCAUGUCUUAGGCGGGCACGUAGAGGCGGACGCCGGCCGCGAUGCUCAUCACCACGCAUCGCAUGUGGAGGACCAGUGCGGUGUGCUGAGCCACCAUCAUCUCCGUGUAGGUGGUGACCUCCUCCAGGUGCUCAUUGACGGUGCCCCAGACCUCGUCGGGGUUGGUCGCCCCGGCCUCCACCACGUCCAACAGCGUCAGCGCCGCGUUGACCCUUCCGGACAUGCUCUCUGAUGUGUUGCGGAGGAUCCCAUUGCUGAUCUCCGCCUGCGACAUGCAUUGAUCUCCCACACGGAAAAAUGGCGGCAGGUCGGGCGCGGCCGCCGGCACCAUCGGCGCCCCCACCGCCGUGCGGAACAUGCGCCGCAGCUUGCGCAUCUGCACGCCUUCGCUCAUGAAGUGACACAAGAGCGGCGUCAGGUGCUGAACCGUCGACGUGAGCUCGGCCCUGGCACCGGCGACGUUCCUGGCCUGCGCGUUGGCGCGGACGGCGACCGCGAUGUUUCUCAGCUCGCGCGCGGCCUCCUCCGUCCACUGGGCGUUCCGGUCGUCCAGGCUCGCCGACUCGUCCAGCACGGCGUUGAGCAGGGUAGCGGGGCUUGGGUGGGGGAGGUUCCCUGCGGCGGCCAUCUCGAUCUACCUAGCCUCCCUCUACCUGCGCGUGCGCGGUGGAAUGGGUGUGUUGGUUCUUGGCUAUACCAGCUAGCAGAGCUACUGUAAAAUGGAUGGACAGACACAAACCUUGUGUAUGCCUGCUUCUAUAUAUAGACGAGGUGGAUGGAUUUGGCCGUCAAAAGCAUUUGAACGAGGCUUUAUUACCAUAUAUCUACUGGCCCGGCUAGUAUGUACACCACCACGUACGCCACACUUGUUGCUUUCGCACGUCUUGGGUGGGGGAGGAGGUGCCGCCACUGGAUGUGAGGGAGGAGGAGGCGCCGGCGAUGAAGGAUGCUCUAAUGUGUGUCGCUUUGUACGUCUGCUUCGUGUACUCGCUCGUACAUAAAUAUAAACAAGCAAAAGAAAAGAGCAGCUACCUUAGCUAUCUAUCUAAACAAAUAUGGAAGGCAUCUCCUUUUCUUUUAGAUAGAAUCAGAAAAAAGGGGUAGCCAUACAACUGUGCAAGGUGCAAGACGCGAUCGUAUCAACAUACCCAUGGGCCAUAGCACGCAUGCAUGAAUAAUUGAAGAGGCCCUGUGUCCAUUACCAGUCAAACUUGCAGAUGCAUGCGUGAUGGCACGGCAUUACUGGAAAGGGCCUCCUGGCCCAUCUGAGCCGGGUGGCCGCGCACAACGAAGAUUGCCUGAUGGGGGCGGUGGCGUGGAGCAUGUGUUCUACUAUACUGUGUGUGUGUGUGUGAGAGGANNNNNNNNNNNNNNNNNNNNNNNNNNNNNNNNNNNNNNNNNNNNNNNNNNNNNNNNNNNNNNNNNNNNNNNNNNNNNNNNNNNNNNNNNNNNNNNNNNNNNNNNNNNNNNNNNNNNNNNNNNNNNNNNNNNNNNNNNNNNNNNNNNNNNNNNNNNNNNNNNNNNNNNNNNNNNNNNNNNNNNNNNNNNNNNNNNNNNNNNNNNNNNNNNNNNNNNNNNNNNNNAGAGAGAGAUGCAAUGCAAAGCUAGCUAGUACCGGUACGUAUGCGGCGUGCGUUCCAACUGGCCUGGUGCAGCUAAGCUAUACGUACGCACAUGUACAUCUUCAGCUUGUGGUGCACAUAGCCUAGUGAAUAAAGAUGCCUUUUGAAAGAUUUUACUGCUUACCCUUUGAUUUUACCACUUACUUUAUUGAACAUGCAAAUCACACUUGUGCUACUCCUUGACUACUACUCCCUCCGCUUCCAAAUUAGUUGACUCCUUAACUACUACCACUCUUCAGCUUUUAGUGUAUAUACUACAAGAAGGGUGAUAUUUGAUGAAACAUUGCCCCUCGUUAUCACACACAACCUGAACCAAUCAGAAAACAUAAUGCACCUUCAGCUCGUGUUGCUGAUAGCCUAACAAAGAAAGAGAGGCAUUUGCCAAGAGUGGAUAUUUUGAGCCCAGUUGCAUUGGAGGACUUUGUUUUAAAUGGUUUGAAAAUCACAUUUAAAGUUUAAAAAAUUCCCCCAAAAAAACUACAUGAUCAUAUGGAUGUAUAUUACAUAUGUGUAAACUUUGAUGAUGAAAUAAGUAAACAUGCGAGCUGCACAAAAAUGACAAAAUGAUGAUAUUUCUAAAUAGUGAAUAAUGCAUGCACUGUUCAUAUUUUAUCAUUUUUAUAUAACUCACGUGGUUACUUAUUUCAGCAUCAAAAUUUGCACAUGUGCAAUAUANNNNNNNNNNNNNNNNNNNNNNNNNNNNNNNNNNNNNNNNNNNNNNNNNNNNNNNNNNNNNNNNNNNNNNNNNNNNNNNNNNNNNNNNNNNNNNNNNNNNNNNNNNNNNNNNNNNNNNNNNNNNNNNNNNNNNNNNNNNNNNNNNNNNNNNNNNNNNNNNNNNNNNNNNNNNNNNNNNNNNNNNNNNNNNNNNNNNNNNNNNNNNNNNNNNCCACCUGAAUAUAUUGCUCAAAGUGGCCAAAAAGCCUGAGUGGUGAUCCAGUUUAUAAGGAAAACCGGAUCAAAAACCUUUAUAAGGGAAACCGGGCUGAAAAACCAAACAAGGCACGACCUAGCUGGCAGACAUAAGACAUCACCACGAGAGACACAAGUAGAUGUGGGGCGUCGUCGUGAGAUCACAAUACCAGGACUUUGCAAACAGCCGAACGCAUCGGCGGGCAUACCGGCCCCCAUGGCACAACUCAGGAGCAACCACAAUCAACGAGUGUCAUCCCAUACACGAACCUUGACUGGGGCUCCGCCACAGAAGAACGGAACGAUUUGCAAGUUUGAGAGGCAUCUUGCGCCAUCCUUGAGCAAAGAUGAGCCGAGACAACACCAAGAGCACGAAGCUCGCCGCAACACAACAGUAAUCAUGAGAGAGUCUUGAGCAAUAAUCACCAACCUGAGCUGCACGAGAACACCACCACCAUAGACGAAGAGCUCCAAUCAACCGAGACCAUCCAUGAUGCCUCAAGGCUAUUGGUGCAGCCGAAGGGCAACGAGCGACCGAGUCCACACCCGGACAAAGAGUCACACGCAGCCGAGUCUACAUCACAACAGCGGCACCGCCGGCGAAGCCGAAGGGCAUCAAGGAGCCGAGUCUACACCUGGAUCGCUUCACCGUGCACACCAGCGCAGGCUGGUCGCGCCACCACCACCACAACACACACCACCAUCGACCCUAGUCGGCCGCACAACCACACCACCAGCCACACCACCACCACCAACCACCAACCUCAAGCCAGCCAAACACCACCCAAACCUUAGGUAAGCAACAUGGAGCAACGUCUCCGAAGACAGGCACCACCAAGGUGGUAACGACGUCGUGGACGCCGCUGCCGUCCGAUCCAGGAGCUAGAUCUAAGGCUUUCACCCGGAGAACGAACAGAGUAGGCGAAGGAACCAAUGCAUCACACAACGGUACCUCCAGGGAGGGAUCCGACGCUGCAGAGCGCCGCUACCGCCGAUGCCGACCAAAGCCGACAUAGGGCUUUUGCCCGUAGCAUCACCCUCGUCACCCUUUUGCUGAGCCACGUCGCUGCUGAGACCAGAGCCACCACCGCAAGGAGGGGAAAACCUCCUGCUACGGCGACCGAGCGCCUGCCGGACUAACACCAGACCGCCGAAGCAGCCAACAGGGAUGGAACCGAGCAAGGCGCGUCAGGGAGUGCGAGAUCCAUGAGAGGAUGGGAGCAAAGGACGCACCUAGCCACCCCUGACUUGGAUCUGGCAGGAAAGAGAGCAGUGGCUGGACCACUGGUCUGGCCCCGCCACCACGCCGGGCUAGCAAGCCGACCAGCUCCAUAGCACCAAGCCGGGAGGGGGGGCCGCCACCCCACCCCAUCCCGCCGAGCAGGGCUGCCGGGCCAAAGCCCGAGCAACCCACUGCAGCCGCAUCAUUGCCGGGAGGGGUCUCAUCGAGCAGCCAAGAGCCGCAAUCCGCAUCCCCACCCGCCGGAUCCACGCGCCAGGAGCCGCCGGAGCGCCGCCACCUGCCAUGCCGUCCCCGCUAGAUCCCGUCGAGGCGCACCGAGGCCGCACCCCAAAUCACCGGAACGAGGACGCCCAUCUCCGCGCCCUUCGCGCCCUCGCCGCGCCGCACCGAGCACGGCCACCCACGCCGGUGCGCGCACCCGCGCGAGCGGCGUGCCGAGCCGAGUCCCCGCACGAACGAACGGCCCGCGCCGCCCCUGCUCGAGCUGGAGGAGGGAAAGGCCCCGCCGCAGCCGAGCCGCGCGUGCUUCGUUCGGCGACAUCCGCCGGCGGCGGCGAGGGAAGGAGGGGCCAGAAGGGCUUGCGCUGGCGGCGGCUAGGGUUCGCUCCCGGGCCGCCCGCGGGAGCGACCUGGGGAGCCAAUUCUUUUUCGGCGGGUAAUAUCUUUUUAGAAUUUUUUGAAAAUUUUAAAACUUUAAAAUACAUAUUGGCACUAUUUAAAAUAUAGGGCUCACUCGAGCUCGUCCUGUAAAGUGACUUUUUUGGCCUUUGCCUUGUGAAACAAACUUUGAGGUCCAGCCAAGGAUCAACCAUCUUUCCUUAACAAAACAUUAAUAUUAAUAUAUAGGAGGUGCAUGAAGCAGAGCCAGUGGUUGCAGCUCCGUCAUCGCCCACUCCGGCUCCGUCGCCGCUGAUUGUAGCAGUGCGCGUCGCGGGUUGUAGCAGCCGCGGCCGAAUCUCCUCCACAUACAGACACAUAGAGAGCGAGGGAAUCAAUCAAUUGAUGGCCAUGAGCCGUUGCUGGGCAACAGUGGGAGAGAGCUGGUCGUGGCUGACGCCUGACGCUGACGCUGAGGCUAAGGCUGAGGCCGAGCAGAGCACGGCAUGCCCGGAAAUGGCCUCCUGCCAUCUGAAACCGAGUGGCCGCGCGUGAUGAAGAUAGCCGGAAGAGGGAGCGAUGCACAGGCCUCUCCAUAAUAUAUAUAUGUACCGCUGUACCCAGCUGUGUCUGAGCUAUAGCUAGCUAGGGGUAGUAGUCUUCCUUGUAAUUUCCUUUUGUUUCCUGGGUUUUUUCUGUAAGAACAAUGCAUCAAUGAAAUCGUCUUCUUCUCGCAAAAAGAAGAAGAAGAUAGUAAUAACUAAAGAGAGACAUGCACUGCUUGCUUUGAAAGACUUCCUUUUUUUUUUGAGUUGAUUUUACUGCUUGCUUUGAAAGAUUUUACUGCCCACCAGAGCAGAGGUGAUAUAUCGGGGCGGCGUCCGUUUUUUCCUUUGUGUAUCUUGUUUUUUCCUUUGUGUUGGCAUGCAUGCACAGGCAGUAGGGAGAAAGCAAGAAACCGUCGCGUACGUGAUUCGAAAAGAAAAGGAGAUGCCUUCCAUAUUUGGCUGGCUACUUUGUUUUUCCAAAAGAAAUCAGGCACUGUCACGUACUACGUACCUAGUGGCGUAGUAGAUGCCUGGCUGUAGCAUUGAAAAGGCUGUUUUAUGCAGUCAGAUGGCCCUUACAACGUAUGUGUAUGCAUGGUACAGACCAGACCAGACCAGACUGUACAUUAUCCAUCCAGCUCUGGACCGCAAAUUCAAAGGAAAUAGAGCCUAAAAUUUCAGGAGCCAUAGCCGAUUUCUGAAACUACUAAACUCCCUCUGUAAUUUCGUAUAAGACAUUUACUGACCAGUACAUAUCCUUGCAGUACAAAUUAUGGCAAUGAAUGAUCUUUACACCUGACACUCCCAGAGACGCCUCCCUGGCAACAGGUAAACAUCACAAAACAGCUAGACCCAACAGUUUUAAACUGUGGGUACUGGGUAAUAACCAGGAAAAAGACUAAACUCCCAGACUAGGCACACAAGUCCGAAGAUGUCUCCUUCACGAAUAACUUCAUCAGAGACGAUUUGUGAUUUUACUUGGCCAAGGAAUCCUCCAUUGCAGCAGGAAUAAGAGCACACAAAAUAUGGCAUCAGCAGGGUGUUUCGGCAUUCUUUGUGGAAAAAACAAAAUCAUUCCUGAUGCUCCAGAGACACCACCAGAAUACCAGAUGUUCCACAGAAACUACUAACCCAACACACAGUAGGCAAACACAGCGAUCUACUAGUAGGAAACUAAACACUGAACCAGCUAGCGUUCUCCUGCAGGAACAGGGGAUGAGUUUGAUCAGAAAAGUCGGGUUUACCAAGCGGUCCGCAGUAAUUCGACCCCGAGCUUGUCGAGGAGCGCAGGAUUUCUGUCCAGGAGGGCUGAUUGGGAGGUUUUGCAGACGAUCUUCCAUGGGUGUUCUAGCAGCUCCAGACACGCGCCUCCUUGACAUUGCUCCAGCGUCUUUUCUGAAAACAGAGUUUGUUGUCUUUCUUGGAAACAGAGUUUGUUACGAAAAGUCCAUCAUAAGCUCCAUAUAAGACAGCAGAACAGAAGAUAUUCAUGACCUGAGUAGUUUCAUACUCAUACACCACAACUGUUGGGCCACAGCACAUUUAGAAAAUAAUCGAUCGCUGCAUUCAAUCUCAGAGCAAAAAGAAGGGAAGUAGGAUCAUCUACAGGGCUAUCCCAGGCUUUCCAGGUCCACCACAUUGCAGCUUGAAGUCGCCACAGCCUUUUUCUGCCAUUUAUUAUACAGUAAGUACUACAUAUCGUGCAAUUUACACAUACACCGAUAUACAUACACCAUGGUGCCAUUGAUCACAAAUAUACACAAGCCUGUGAAACACAAGACUGAUACACAAGAUUCGUUUUAAUGCUUAUUAUUUCACCGUAUGUUAAAUUGGUCACUUUGUAUGGGUUGUGGCUUAUGAAAGUUGAAAUUCAGUUUAUAGCUAAUGGCUUUCAUCCGUUUUAAAUUGAUCGGUGUCAUUAGAGCAACUCCAAUGGGGCGACCCAUUUCGUCCGCGGCCGUCCGUUUGGGUCGGCGCGGACAGAAAAGGCGGCCCAACGCGCCGACCCAAACGAACACGCGUCCAUUUUUCGUCCACGGGCGACCCAUUCCCGGCCCAUUUUUGACCCUGAUUUGCGUCGGCGCGGACACGCGACGGGCGCGCGCGCUCGCCUACUCCUGUCCCUGGGCCCGCUGGUCUGUGGCACAUUGGUCUCCCGUCUCACCCUGCGGCCAACAAAGCAACCCUCCCGCCUCCUCCGUCGCCGACGCCGCCGCCCAUUUUUUCCGGCGACUCUUCCAGCUGCCGCCGCCUCCACAUCCGCCCAGCAAUGCCGCCCCUCCCCCCGUCGCCCUCCGCCGCCGUUUUGCCGCCGGGGAGCAAACUGCUUCCCACCACCGCUUCCCCCCACCGCACAGCCACCCGCGACCAAGAAGCCACCUCGCCGCCCCUGCCACAUCCGACCAGCACGCUCGUCGGACGCCGUCACACUCGCCAAGAAGCUAGCUGGUCUGUGGGCGUCGCGACUCCCCUCGCCAGCCGUCUCCUUCGUCGACGCGCGCAAGCUGUUCCACAGUUUGCCAAGGUACGAAAUGGACUCCGCCGACGAGUUCUUUUUCCACAAUUUCCUUUGCGACUCCGACGAUUCGUCGUCCGACGACGAGGAGGAGAUAUUGGCUGCCGUAUUGGUCCACCACCACCUCAACAGCCAGCAGCCGUUGUUUCGUGGCUCCAUUCCGGGCCACCUACCGGCGUUGAAUCGCAACCGAGAGAGCGGGCAUUUCCUUCUCUGGAAGGACUACUUUGAUACAACAAACCCGUUGUUCAAACAUCACAAAUUCCACCGCCGGUUCCGUAUGAGUAGGCAUGUUUUCAACCGUAUUAGAGAGGGAGUGGUCGGCUAUGAUGACUACUUCGAGUGCAAAGAGGAUGCCGUCGGCAAGAUUGGUUUCUCCUCUUAUCAGAAAUGCAUUGUCACCAUCCGAAUGCUUGCAUACGGAGUGCCCGGUGAUCUCAUUGACGAGUACGUCCGCAUGAGCGAGUCUACAUGCCUAGAGUCCAUGUAUAAGUUCUGCAAGGCUGUGAUUGUUGUGUUUGGCCCUGAGUACUUGAGAGAGCCGACAGCUGAAGAUACAACCCGUUUGUUGGCGAUGAAUGCCAGCAGGGGCUUCCCGGGGAUGCUUGGCAGCAUAGACUGCAUGCACUUGGAGUGGAAGAACUGCCCUUCUGCUUGGCAAGGGCAGUAUAAGGGACAUGUCAGGGCUUGCACUGUCAUACUAGAGGCCGUGGCGUCUCAAGAUCCGUGGAUCUGGCACUCUUUCUUUGGCAUGGCUGGAUCACACAAUGAUUUCAACGUGCUUCAGCGCUCGCCGGUGUUUUCUAGGCUUGCCAAAGGCAACAGCCCACUGGUGAACUUUACUGUCAACGACCACAACUACGACAAAGGGUACUAUUUGGGUGACGGUAUCUAUCCUCAGUGGACCACUAUUGUCAAGACAAUACCCAACCCUGUCGGAGAGAAAAGGAAAAGAUUUGCCCAAGAGCAAGAGAGUGCUAGGAAGGAUGUCGAGCGUGUCUUUGGUGUUUUGCAAUCUCGAUGGGGCAUCGUUCGGUAUCCUGCUAAUACUUGGAGCACGCAGAAACUAUGGGAGGUGAUGAAUGCUUGUGUGAUCAUGCACAAUAUGAUCGUAGAAGACGAGCGCCCGGAACGUCUGUACGAUCAAGACUUUCAGUUUCAGGGUGAGAAUGUUGUGCUUGAGCAUGGAGUAGCGGCAACAUUUGAGCAGUUCAUUCAGUUUCAUGAAGACAUGCGUGAUUGGGAAACUCACGUGCAACUGCAAAAUGAUUUGGUCGAGCAUAUAUGGACUCAUGUUGGCAACCAAUAGAUGUAUCUUCUUUUAUUCAUUUGCAAAACUAUGUGAAACAUUUUUAUUUGUAUUUGUCUUGUAAACUAUACUAUUUAUUUGGGCAGCCAGACUAUUUGGCUUCACAGUAUGUUUGAAUGCAAAUCAAUGUAAAAUUGGGCGGCCAGCCGGCCACGCCUGCACAUAUGGGUCGGCGCGUUGGGCGCGCUGCCGACCCAUAUCAAAAAUAGGGCGGACGCCGGGCGGGCGGCCGACACAAACGGACAAAAAGCGGACGAAAUCGCCAUCCGUUUGGGUCGGCCCGUUGGAGUUGCUCUUAUUGCUGCAGGUCCAUAAGCACAAUGCCACUCUCAAACGAAAUCUUACCUGCUGUGCUGGCCUCAAAAGUUACCGCAACACGUCAUCAGGUCCAUGAGCUCAUUGAUUUAAUAGCAGAGCUUUCAGCCCAAGUCGGAUUUCGAUGCUGUGCUAUCUGCAAGCGCAACGCUGGCCAAAUCAUGGGUGCUGAGAACUUGAUGGCUGAGAUUGAGGGGGCCCAUCGAGUUCUUGUGCCCACCAUUGCAUUUGUUACAGGGUUGUUCAUGGUGUGCAAGUCUCAGUUUGGAGAUAUGACGGGGACUGAGCAAGAAGUAGAGAUGAAGAACAACAUGUCCCAAGCCAAGCUUGCAGUUCAAGUUAUGAACCGUUCACUUUUUCUAUUGGGAUCCAGUGUUUUGGAAUUUGACUUUGUUGUGAGCAACUACUCGCUCUUGGACCCAAUAGCACAUGCUGAUGCAGAAAGUUCACUGUGCAAGGCAGCUAAUAUGUGCCGGUUAAUUCAGACCUUUGCCGACACUCUGCAGUUCCACCUAGAGGUUUUUGAAGGGAUCUACAGUUUUGGCGUGUUGUUCUGCACCCCCAGUAAUCAGGAGUGAAGUAUUUGGUAAAUACUUCUAUAUCUCAUAGCUAUGUAUUUUGUCUUUUAAUUGGUAGCCUUUUAAGGAGCUUUUAACAUUCUUUGAUGAUAUAGGUCAAGUUAGUAAUGUGUGGACUGAAUUGAUGCAUUAUUUUAUUUCUAUUGCUUCUGUUCUGUAUGCAGUAGUGCAGAGCUGUACGAAUGUUCUUAUUCUUGCAUAGUAAGAGUAUUUUUAUAUUAUCUAGGAAGUACUCUGCUUCACUGAAUUCUCUCAUAUUGCCCCGCUCCUCUUGAUAUAUACAUAUUUUAUACUGAAAUUUUAUACUUACUACACUACUGUGUUAAGGAGCAUACUUUUUUUAUGGGAAGGAGUAUAUUUUUUAUAUAUUUGGCAUACUUAAUAAUAUUGUUUAAUUAUUUAUUAUAUAUUUGUAUUGUAUAUCACUGAAAAAUACUUUAAGUGUUGCGCCUAAUUUAAUUUCUGCUUUCUAACGAUUUUUAAUUUUUGUAUACUUGUGUAAUUUAUGUAGUUUACACAUAUGUAUGUUAGAUAUCUCUAAAAUAUGUGGUUUCACAAAUAUUGUAAUAGUAGUUGUAAUAUAUGAUUAGGAAAAUAUAUUUGUAGAAAGUUCUAGUGGUUGUAUUAUAUAAUUAGGAAACUAUAUCUGUAGAAAAUUCUAGAGUACAAUAUACUUGUUUUUUGAGCACCUAUGUAUAAGUUUGACAAUAUAUUUAAUAAUAUAUGUGAGGGACCCACAAUGUACGAAUUUAACAAAAUAUUGUUUAAACCAUAUGGUUUAACGAUGUAUCUAUAUACUCGUUUCCCAUUGUUAGAGUCCAGAACAAAAUGGAGCCUCCUCGGGCGUUUGGAUUUUCAGCCGUCGGAUCGAAAUCUCCUCGCGACACGGACCGUCGGAUCUGGAUCCAAAUCACUGUGGGUCAUUGGAUAUUUACCCAAUCAACCUCUGCCGUCGGAUAAAAUUCCAAUUGCAACAAAUUGUAAUAUCCAUGCCCCCACCAGGGCAUUUUUGUCAUUUCAGAUUGGGCCAUAUAAAUUGCAGCUGCUGCCAUGUUGGAGACCUAGCCGCUGCCUCGUCCUGCACUCGCGCCCCCACACUUCCUCUCCCCCGCGACCCCCGCCUCCUCUCCUGCCGCCGCCGCCGCCGCGCCCUCCCCACCCGCACGCGACCCACCUGUUAGAUCCCGCUAAGUAUUUGUAGGAAUUUUCUAUGGAUUUCUAUGAACUAUGAGGUAUAGGUAUGAGGUAAGAGGAACUCUAGGGUUCCAGUAUAUUAGCCAUCGCGGCGAUUUGGGAAAAUGUUCAGGUGAGAUUCUGCCCAGCCACAACCCGGCUAGUUAUAGGCGACAGUUUAACCAGAGAGUAACAGUAACUAUGAGCUAGUCCCGUUACAACGGUAAAAAGGAUUCAACGGUUGCGAUGUGUCAUCGUGCUCCCAGCCAAUCUGGUCCGUUGGUUAACUGAACUGGUAUUCUCCUGAAAUGCUACAGCUAACUGAAUCACUACUGGUGCUGACAUUGCUCCCCUCUAAGACACGACGUGUCCUCACGACGUUUGUUCUGCUUCGCGCCACGCUUGCGUUGUUGACUUGAAGAUCUCCGAGAAGGUGUACUUGAUGAAGUCAGCGUCCUCCCAAGUGGCGUCUUCUGGUAGGAGAUUCUGCCAAUGAAUCAGCCACUGAACAACUGGUGCAUUGCGUCUUGGAACUUGCCUUACUUGGAGCACCGCGGCCGGGCCUGUUUUGAUCGUGCCAUCUGCGUUGACCAUAGGUAAAUAGGGACUAGGGAUUGAUAGUGUGUUUCUUGAGCUGGCUCACAUGAAAGUCUGGGUGUAUUUUGACUUCCUCACGGAAUUGCAACUUGUAAGCUAAUCGUCCCACUCUUUGUGUGAUCAAGAAAGGGCCAUAGUAUUUGUUUUGGAAUUUCAGAGCUCCUCUGAACCCAAAAGCAGCCAAUCUGUAUGGCGCCAUCUUUAAAUAAACCAAUUCUCCUACUUCAAAUGUUCUCUCAACUCUUUUCAUAUCAGCAAAGUGUUUCAUUCUGUUUUGUGCUCUUUGCAAGUUCUCUUUGAGCUGGUCCAGAAUUUGUUGCUUGGAAGAGAGAAAAUCUUGUGCUUCAACUUCAUCUGGGCCAGGAAUUGCUAGCUCAACAAUGAGUGGAGGGGGAAAACCAUAUAGUGCCUGGAAUGGAGACAUUUUCAAGGCAGUGUGAUAUGUGGAGUUGUACCAAUAUUCAGCUAAGGAUAGCCAAGAUGCCCACUUGUUUGGUUCAUUGGUAGUCAUACACCUCAGAUAAGUUUCCAAACACUCGUUGACUCUCUCUGUCUGGCCAUCUGUUUGAGGGUGAUAAGCAGUGCUGUAUCUGAGUUCUACCUUCAAAGCAGUAAAGAUAUCUUUCCAGAGUUUGCUGGUGAAUAUUCUGUCCCUGUCUGAUAUUAUGAGCUUAGGAGGUCCAUGCAACUUAAUGAUAUGAUCCACAAAUGCUUGAGCAACAGUGUGAACUAUAUAUGGGUGAGACAAUGGAAUGAAAUGUGAGUAUUUAGUGAAUGUGUCAACUAUUACCAUGAUCACUUUUUUUCCCUGUGAAUUGGGAAGACCCUCAAUAAAGUCCAUUGUCACAUGUUGCCAUGCCAUAUCAGCUACAGGCAGUGGGUCCAACAAUCCAGGUUGCAAGCAGUUUUCAUGUUUUGCUCUCUGGCAAAUUGGGCAGGCAGCAAUGAAAGUUUCCACUUCAGUUUUUAGCCCAGGCCAGUAGAAAAUAUUCUUAAUCCUCUGGUAGGUAGCUCUCAUUCAUGACUGACCCCUAAUAGGAGAACUAUGCAAUGCUUGGAUUAGUUUGGUUUUCAAGUCAGCAUUGUUCCCUACUAGUAUCUUGCCUUUGUACCUUAUAAUUCCAGCAUGUAUGGUGUACUCUGCAUUGGGAUCUGGUUGCUGCAACAGUAGUUGUUCCAGCAGUUUUUUACUGACUGGAUCUUGCUGAUAACUCAGUAACAGAUCCUCAGCCCACACUAGUGUCACAGCAGACAGAGCAAAACACUUUGGAAGUAACCUGGAGAGAGCAUCAGCUACCUUGUUCUCACUUCCUUUUUUGUACUGAAUUUUGAAGUUAAACUCUAGUAAUUUCAUCAUUAACUUAUGUUUCACCCCUUCAGUGAUUUUCUGGUCAGUAAUGAACUUGAGUGAUUGCUGAUCAGUUUUAAUAAUUAGUUCAUUGCCUAUCAGAUAGUUUCUCCACUUCUUGAGUGCUUCCAGUAUAGCAAGAGCUUCUUUCUCGUAUGUGGACAUAGCUGCAUUUCUAGGGCAAAGUGAGGAGCUAUUGUAUGCUAAGGGUCUUCCUUGCUGCAUGAGAACAGCUCCUAUUCCUUUACCAGAAGCAUCUGUUUCCAAUACAAAUGGCAUGGAGAAGUUGGGGAGGGCUAGUAUAGGAGCUGUAAUUAAGGCUUGUUGCAGUUGUGCAAAAGCCUGAUCAUGUUAUUGUUUUCAAUGAAACUGCCCCUUUUUUAACAGAUCAUGUAGAGGCCUGCAUAUGACUCCAUAUCCCUUGAUAAAUCUCAUGUAGUAGCCUGCUAAGCCCAAGAAACUCCUCAACUUAGAUACUGAAUCUGGUGUUGGCCACUCAGCAAUAGCAGCAAUUUUCUGGGGAUCUAUAGCUACUCCUUUGGCAGAUAUUACAUGUCCUAAGUAUUCCACUUGUUGGACAGCAAAUACACAUUUGGACAUUUUAGCAAACAGCUGAUGCUCCUUCAAUAAUUGCAGCACUAUACUUAAAUGCUCCUUGUGCUCUUGGAGGGUUUUACUGUAUAUGAGUAUAUCAUCAAAGAAAAUCAACACAAACUUCCUCAAAUACGGACCAAAGAUGUUGUUCAUCAAUGCUUGAAAAGUUCCUGGGGCAUUUGACAAGCCAAAGGGCAUAACCAGAUAUUCAAAAUGGCCUAGAAAAGUUCUGAAUGCUGUCUUCUGUAUAUCAUCAGGAUGUAUUCUUAUUUGAUGAUAGCCUGACCUUAAGUCAAUUUUGGAAAAGUAAUGUGCCCCAUGCAAUUCAUCUAGAAGAUCCUCUAUCAAUGGUAUAGGAAACUUGUUCUUAACUCUGAGAGAAUUAAGUUUCCUGAAAUCAGUGCAAAGCCUCAUGGAACUAUCUUUCUUUCUAACUAAUAAGACAGGUGCUGCAUAUGGACUCUGGUUGUGUCUGAUAAGGUGAGCAGCUAGCAAUUUUCUAAUUUGAUCUUCCAUUUCUUGCUUCUGGUGUUGAGGAACUCUGUAUGGUCUCACAUGAGGUGGAGUAGCAUCAGGAACUAGAGGUAUAGUAUGGUCAAUAGUUCUCUCUGGUGGUAGUGAUUUUGGUUCCUCAAAUAGAUCAACAUAUUCUAGCAGUAGUUUCUAUAUUUGUGGGGGUGUUUGUGUUCCCUCAGGUGCUUCCAUUAAGAUGUUAUGCACCUGUAACAAGAAACUUUCUACUCCUUUAUCCAGCAACUUGCUCAUCUCCUCAGCUAGUACUUCUUUGACAGUUUCAGGACUGUUAAAAACUGCAGUAGUAACUGUUUGAGUUACUUCCUUUGUGAAACUGAAAGUUUGCUUGGGGAUAUUGAAUGAAACAGGACUGACCACAGUCAUCCAAUCAUAUCCCAGUAUGAUAUCAUGACUAGGUAGUUUUAACACCCUGAAAUGGUGUUUAAGUUUCAACUUAGCAAGUUGAAAUUGAUAGUUGGGCACAAUUGCUGCAGACAGUAACUUCCCUCCUCCAGCUACUGCUAUAGCUCUCUGUUUACAGGCAACAGCUGACAAUUUGCUUUAACAGCAAAAUCUUCAUUAAUAAAGGAAGUAGUGCUACCUGAAUCCAACAGGGCCACAACUCUUUUCCCAUUAAUGUAUAUGAUCACUAUGGGAGUAGGUACUGCUAGCUGGUGCCCCAGUGCAUGGGCAGACAUAAACAUUACUUGUUCUCCCUCCUCUGCCAUUUCAGGUUGCUCCUGUUGUUCUAUUUCUUCAUUAUCAAUGACAAUUUGAUCUGCCUCCUCCUGUUGCAGCAGAUGUACAUUGGGUAUUAAUUUAUACUUGUGUCCAUGCAUCCAUUUAUCUCCACACCUCCAACAUUCUCCAACUUUUCUGAUCUUCUGUCCACUGUUAACUGGGAGUUUAGCUUGUCUGAUAGGCAGUUGCUACUGAGCUACAGGAGUGUGCUGUUUUGCUGGAGGAAUCCAAUUUGGUUUCUGAUAGAAAUUGUUGAAAGGUGCACUUUGUUUCUUGCUGACAGUGGCUAUGUGUGGAUGAUUAGGCUCUAUAUCAUUUGCCAUGCAAUAAGCAUCUGUCAGUGUUUUAGGCCUGAAAGGUCUGAUUUGAAACUUAAUUCCUUCUCUUAGUCCAUUCACAUAACGCCUGAUAAACCAUAGCUCUCCUAACUCAGGAUUUUCCUCCUGCACAUCUGCCAUUAAAUCCUCAAACAGUUUUGUGUAUUCGGACACAGAGUGAUGCAAUUGUUUGAUUGAGUUAAACUUCUCUGUCAAAUCAUAAGAACCUUUUUCAGAAAAUCUUUUAACCACUUCUGCUCCAAAUUCUUUCCAAGUGAGUUGCUUCUUUAACAAACCAGAUCUCCUGAGCAACUUCUCUGUCAAAUCAUAAGAACCUUUUUCAGAAAAUCUUUUAACCACUUCUGCUCCAAAUUCUUUCCAAGUGAGUUGCUUCUUUAACAAACCAGAUCUCCUGAGCCACACAUCAGCAUCCUCAACUACAUACAUCUGAGCCAAUGAGACUUUGUAUUCCUCUGGUGCUCCAGACAUUUGGAAAUAUUUGUUGCAUUGCCUUAUCCAUCCUACUGGAUCUAUUCCAGAGAAUCUAGGAAAAUCCAGCCUAGGUCCUUUGGUGACUGAUUUCAUGAAUUGAGCCUGCAUAUCCUGCUCAUAGGUUUUAUAGUAACCCUGCCAGAGCUGUCUGUCUCUGUUUUGCUGGUAAAACUGAUUGAAUGCAGGUGUGUGCGUGUGUUGUCAGUCAGUCACUGGUGUUCCUAUAACACUUGCAGUAUCAUGCCUCCCUUGUGGAGCAUAACCAGGAGGUACUGUAACUCUAUUGGUUCUGAUAGGAUGUAAGUUUUGUAACUGAAUAUCUUCCAACUGCUUGGUUUUCUCUUUUUCUGUUGCUAACUGCUGCUUCAGCUAUUCAAUUCUAAGUUCUUGUUCCUGUGUUUGUUCUCUAUGCAGAGUAGGAGACUUGAUAACUGGUGUAGAACUGGAAGGAAUAUCCUACUGGUUAUUAGGUUGAGGCUGCUUAACUAAUGUUGCCAGAACACUGCUGAUUGCUGACAGUUGUUUACUCAAGUCCAAAACCACUUGCUCUACUGUGCCCACUGUUGCAGAAAUUUGCCCCUGUUUUGCUCCAAUUACUUGCACUUCUUCUUGUAACUUGGACAUCUGAGUUUGCAUCUGCGCGCCGUCUUGCUGUAGAACUCCGAAAUCACCCCGCAAGGAUAGAACAUCAUGAAGAUCCGCUUCAUCAAUCGCCCCAUCACCGUGAUCUGAGGAAGAGGGAAGGAAUUUUACUGCCGGGUUUACCCGGUAACCCGGCCCUCUGCACAGAUCCUGCCGCCUACUCGAUCCUCGCCUCUGAUGCUGACUUGAUCAUAAACCCACAAUUCAUCGGUCUCAACAAACACACCACAAAAAGAAGAUUACAUCGAAUAGAUCUCCACGAGAAAGGGGAAGAACUUUGUAUUGAGAUCCAAAAAGAGAGAAGAAGUCAUCUAGCUAAUAACUAUGGACCCGAAGGUCUGAGGUAAACUACUCACACUUCAUCGGAGAGGCUAUGAUGAUGUAGAAGCCGUCCGUGAUGACGGCCCUCUCCGGCGGAGCUCCGGAGCAGGCCCCAAGAUGGGAUCUCGUGGAUACAGAAGGUUGCGGCGGUGGAAUUAGGUUUUUGGCUCCUCCUCUGAUCGUUUGGGGGUACGUAGGUAUAUAUAGGAGGAAGGAGUACGUCGAUGGAGCAACAGGGGGCCCACGAGGUAGGGGGGCGCGCCCCAGGGGGGUGGGCGCGCCCCCCACCCUCGCGACCGCCUCUUUUGUUCCUUGGAGCAGGGUCCAAGUCUCCUGGAUCAGUUCGGUAAGAAAAUCACAUUCCCGAAGGUUUCAUUCCUUUUGGACUCCGUUUGAUAUUAUGUUUCUUCGAAACACUAAAAUAGGAAAAAAACAGCAAUUCUGGGCUGGGCCUCCGGUGAAUAGGUUAGUCCCAAAAAUAAUAUAAAAGUGGAAAAUAAAGCCCAGUAUAGUCCAAAACAGUAGAUAAUAUAGCAUGGAGCAAUCAAAAAUUAUAGAUACGUUGGAGACGUAUCAGGCAUCCCCAAGCUUAAUUCCUGCUCGUCCUCCAGUAGGUAAAUGAUAAAAAGAGAAUUUUUGAUGCGGAGUGCUACUUGGCAUAAUUUCAAUGCAAAUCUUCUUAAUUGUGGUAUUAAUAUUCAGAUUCGAAAGAUUCAAGACAAAAGUUCAUAUUGAUAUAAAAAAUAAUAAUACUUCAAGCAUACUAACAAAGCAAUUAUGUCUUCUCAAAAUAACAUGGCCAAAGAAAGUUAUCCCUACAAAAUCAUAUAGUCUGGCUAUGCUCUAUCUUCACCACACAAAGUAUUUAAAUCAUGCACAACCCCGAUGACAAGCCAAGCAAUUGUUUCAUACUUUAACAUUUUCAAAACUUUUUCAAUCUUCACACAAUACAUGAGCGUGAGCCAUGGAUAUAGCACUAUAUGUGGAAUAGAAUUAGAAUGAUGGUUGUGGAUAAGACAAAAGGAGGGGAAGAUAGUCUCACAUCAACUAGGCGUAUCAACGGGCUAUGGAGAUGCCCAUCAAUAGAUAUCAAUGUGAGUGAGUAGGGAUUGCCAUGCAACGGAUGCACUAGAGCUAUUAGUAUAUGAAAGCUCAUCAAAAGAAACUAAGUGGGUGUGCAUCCAACUCGCUUGCUCACGAAGACCUAGGGCAAUUUUGAGGAAGCCCAUCAUUGGAAUAUACAAGCCAAGUUCUAUAAUGAAAAAUUCCCACUAGUAUAUGAAAGUGACAAAAUGAGAGACUCUCUAUCAUGAAGAUCAUGGUGCUACUUUGAAGGACAAGUGUGGUAAAAGGAUAGUAACAUUGUCCAUUCUCUCUUUUUCUCUCAUUUUUUUAUUUGGGCCUUUUUUAUGGCCUCUUUUCUUUUCUUUUUUUUCUUUUUUUUGUUUUUCGUCCGGAGUCUCAUCCCGACUUAUGGGGGAAUCAUAGUCUCCAUCAUUCUUUCCUCACUUGGGACAAUGCUCUAAAAAUGAUGAUCAUCACACUUUUAUUUUUCUUACAACUCAACAAUUACAACUUGAUACUUAGAACAAAUAUGACUCUAUAUGAAUGCCUCUGGCGGUGUACCGGGAUAUGCAAUGAAUCAACAGUGACAUGUAUGAAAAAAUUAUGAACGGUGGCUUUGCCACAAAUGCGAUGUCAACUACAUGAUCAUGCUAGCAAUAUGACAAUGAUGGAGCGUGUCAUAGUGAUGUCUACUACACAACCUUCUUCUUGUAGACGUUGUUGGGCCUCCAAGUGCAGAGGUUUGUAGGACAGUAGCAAAUUUCCCUCAAGUGGAUGACCUAAUGUUUAUCAAUCCGUGGGAGGCGUAGGAUGAAGAUGGUCUCUCUCAAGCAACCCUGUAACCAAAUAAUGAAACCACCUCAAAUUUAUUCUUUCCCAUCAAUCCGUUGGGCUAUUCUUAUAAGUGUCACAAACAACCCUAGAGUUGGUACUAGAAUAACACCUUAAGACACAAAUCAACCAAAACCCUAAUGUCACCUAGAUACUCCAAUGCCACCUCAAGUAUCCGUGGGUAUGAUUAUACGAUAUGCAUCACACAAUCUUAGAUUCAUCUAUUCAAUACAACACAAAGAACCUCAAAGAGUGCCCCAAAGUUUCUACCGGAGAAUCACGACGAAAACAUGUGCCAACCCCUAUGCAUUGGUUCAUGGGCGGAACCCACAAGUUGAUCACCAAAACAUACAUCAAGUGAAUCACGUGAUAUCCCAUUGUCACCACAGAUACGCACGGCAAGACAUAAAUCAAGUGUUCUCAAAUCUUUAAAGACUCAAUCCGAUAAGAUUACUUCAAAGGGAAAACUCAAUCCAUUACAAAAUAGUAGAGGGGGAGAAGGAACAUAAGAUUAAACUAUAAUAGCAAAGCUCGCGAUACAUCAAGAUCGUGCCAAAUCAAGAACACGAGACAGAGAGAGAUCAAACACAUAGCUACUGGUACAUACCCACAACCCCGAGGGUGAACUACUCCCUCCUCGUCAUGGAGAGCGCCGGGAUGAUGAAGAUGGCCACCAGUGAGGGAUCCCCCCUCCGGCAGGGUGCCGCAACAGGGUCCCGAUUGACUUUUGGUGGCUACAAAGGCUUGCGGCGGCGGAACUCCCGGUCUAAUCUCCGUUCUGGAAGUUUUAGGUUAUGUAGGUCUAUAUGGGUGUAGGAGGUACGUCGGUGGACCGAAGGGGGGGCCACGAGGCAGGGGGCGCGCCCCAGGGGGGUGGGCGCGCCCCCUACCCUCGUGAGCACCUCCCUCAUCUUCUGACGUAGGGUCCAAGUCUAUCCGGUAGGUUUCCUUCCAAAAAUAACUUCUCCAGUUGAUUUCGUUCCGUUUCGACUCCGUUUGAUAUUCCUUUUCUUCGAAACACUGAAAUAGGCAUAAAACAGCAAAUCUGGGCUGGGCCUCCGGUUAAUAGGUUAGUCCCAAAAAUAAUAUAAAAGUGGAUAAUAAAUCCCAAUAUUGCCCAAAACAGUAGAUAAUAUAGCAUGGAGCAAUCAAAAAUUAUAGAUACGUUGGAGACGUAACAAGCAUCCCCAAGCUUAAUUCCUGCUCGUCCUCGAGUAGGUAAAUGAUAAAAAAGAUAAUUUUUUAUGUGGAAUGCUAGUUGGCAUAAUUUCAAUGUAAUUCUUCUUACUUGUGAUAUGAAUAUUCAGAUUCGAAAGAUUCAAGACAAAAGUUCAUAUUGACAUAAAAAUAAUAAUACUUCAAGCAUACUAAUAAAGCAAUUAUGUCUUCUCAAAAUAACAUGGCCAAAGAAAGUUAUCCCUACAAAAUCAUAUAGUCUGGCUAUGCUCUAUCUUCACCACACAAAGUAUUUAAAUCAUGCACAACCCCGAUGACAAGCCAAGCAAUUGUUUCAUACUUUUGAUGUUCUCAAACUUUUUCAAUCUUUACGCAAUACAUGAGCGUGAGCCAUGGAUAUAGCACUAUAGGUGGAAUAGAAUGGUGGUUGUGGAGAAGACAAAAAGGAGAAGAUAGUCUCACAUCAACUAGGCGUAUCAACGGGCUAUAGAGAUGCCCAUCAAUAGAUAUCAAUGUCAGUGAGUAGGGAUUGCCAUGCAACGGAUGCACUAGAGCUAUAAGUAUAUGAAAGCUCAACAAAAGAAACUAAGUGGGUGUGCAUCCAACUCGCUUGCUCACGAAGACCUAGGGAAAUUUGAGGAAGCCCAUCAUUGGAAUAUACAAGCCAAGUUCUAUAAUGAAAAAUUCUCACUAGUAUAUGAAAGUGACAACAUAGGAGACUCUCUAUCAUGAAGAUCAUGGUACUACUUUGAAGCACAUGUGUGGUAAAAGGAUAGUAGCAUUGCCCCUUCUCUCUUUUUCUCUCAUGUUUUUGUUUGGGCCUUUUCUGUUUUUUAUGGCCUCUUUUUCUUUUCUUUUUUUUAUUUUUUUCGUCCGGAGUCUCAUCCCGACUUGUGGGGGAAUCAUAGUCUCCAUCAUCCUUUCCUCACUUGGGACAAUGCUCUAAAAAUGAUGAUCAUCACACUUUUAUUUUUCUUACAACUCAACAAUUACAACUCGAUACUUAGUACAAGAUAUGACUCUAUAUGAAUGCCUCCGGCGGUGUGCUGGGAUGUGCAAUGACUCAUGAGUGACAUGUAUGAAAGAAUUAUGAACGGUGGCUUUGCCACAAAUACAAUGUCAACUACAUGAUCAUGCUAGCAAUAUGACAAUGAUGGAGCGUGUCAUAAUAAACGAAACGGUGGAAAGUUGCAUGGCAAUAUAUCUCGGAAUGGCUAUGGAAAUGCCAUGAUAGGUAGGUAUGGUGGCUGUUUUGAGGAAGGUUUAUGGUGGGUGUAUGAUACCGGCGAAAAGUGCGCGGUAUUAGAGAGGCUAGCAAUGGUGGAAGGAUGGGAAAAGUGCGUAUAAUCCAUGGACUCAACAUUAGUCAUAAAGAACUCAUAUACUUAUUGCAAAAAUCUACAAGUUAUCAAAGCAAAGUAUUACGCGCAUGCUCCUAGGGGGAUAGAUUGGUAGGAAAAGACCAUCGCUCGUCCCCGACCGCCACUCAUAAGGAAGACAAUCAAUAAAUAAAUCAUGCUCCGACUUCAUCACAUAACGGUUCACCAUACGUGCAUGCUACGGGAAUCACAAACUUUAACACAAGUAUUUCUCAAAUUCACAACUACUCAACUAGCAUGACUCUAAUAUCACCAUCUUUAUAUCUCAAAACAAUUAUCAAGCAUCAAACUUCUCUUAGUAUUCAACACACUCAUAAGAAAGUUUUUACUAUUCUUGGAUACCUAGCAUAUUAGGAUUAAGCACAUUACCAUGCUAUUUAAGACUCUCAAAAUAAUAUAAGUGAAGCGUGAGAGAUCAAUAGUUUCUAUAAAACAAAUCCACCACCGUGUUCUAAAAGGAUAUAAAUGAAGCACUAGAGCAAACAACAAACUACUCCGAAAGAUAUAAGUGAAGAUCAAUGAGUAGUCUAAUAAUUAUGCAACUAUGUGAAGACUCUCUAACAUUUAAGAAUUUCAGAUCUUGGUACUUUAUUCAAACAGCAAGCAGAGCAAAAGAAAAUAAAAUGACGCUCCAAGCAAAACACAUAUCAUGUGAUGAAUAAAAAUAUAGCUCCAAGUAAAGUUACCGAUGAACGAAGACGAAAGAGGGGAUGCCUUCCGGGGCAUCCCCAAGCUUAGAUGCUUGGUUAUCCUUGAAUAUUACCUUGGGGUGCCUUGGGCAUCCCCAAGCUUAGGCUCUUGCCACUCCUUAUUCCAUAGUCCAUCGAAUCUUUACCCAAAACUUGAAAACUUCACAACACAAAACUUAACAGAAAACUCGUAAGCUCCGUUAGCGAAAGAAAACAAAACACCACUUCAAGGUACUGUAAUCAACUCAUUAUUUAUUUAUAUUGGUGUUAAACCUACUGUAUUCCAACUUGUCUAUGGUUUAUAAACUAUUUUACUAGCCAUAGAUUCAUCAAAAUAAGCAAACAACACACAAAAAACAGAAUCUGUCAAAAACAGAACAGUCUGUAGUAAUCUGUAACUAACGCAAACUUAUGGAACUCAAAAAAUUCUAAAAUAAAUUGGUGGACCUGAGUAAUUUUUCUAGUAAUCAUCUGAAAAAAUAAUCAACUAAAUAGCACUCUCCAGUAAAAAGUUGAAGCAAAUCUCGUGAGCACUAAAGUUUCUGUUUUUUACAGCAUGAUCAUAAAGACUUCACCCAAGUCCUCCCAAAGGUUCUACUUGGCACAAACUCUAAUUAAAACACAAAACCACAUCUAAACAGAAGCUAGAUGGAUUAUUUAUUCCUAAAUAGAACCAAAAAGCAAGAAACUAAAAUAAAAUUGGGUUGCCUCCCAACAAGCGCUAUCGUUUAACGCCCCUAGCUAGGCACGAUGAUUUCAAUGAUGCUCACAGAAGAGAUAAGAAUUGAAACAUAAAGAGAGCAUCAUGAAGAAUAUGACUAGCACAUUUAAGUCUAACCCACUUCCUAUGCAUAGGGAUUUUGUGAGCAAACAACUUAUGGGAACAAUAAUCAACUUGCAUAGGAAGGUAGAACAAGCAUAACUUCAAAACUUUAAGCACAUAGAGAGGAAACUUGAUAUUAUUGCAAUUCCUACAAGCAUAUGUUCCUCCCUCAUAAUAAUUUUUAGUAGCAUAAUGAAUGAAUUCAACAAUAUAACCAGCACCUAAAGCAUUCUUUUCAUGAUCUACAAGCAUAUAAAUUUUAUUACUCUCCACAUAAGCAAAUUUCUUCUCAUGAAUAAUAGUGGGAGCAAACUCAACAAAAUAACUAUCAUGUGAUUGGAAAUUAAGAUCAAGAUGACAAGUUUCAUGGUUAUAAUUAUUCUUUAAAGCAUACAUGUCAUCACAAUAAUCAUCAUAGAUAGGAGGCAUGCUUUCAUCAUAGUAAAUUUGCUCAUCAAAACUUGGGGGACAAAAAAUAUCAUCUUCGUCAAACAUAGCAUCCCCAAGCUUGUGGCUUUGCAUAUCAUUAGCAUCAUGGAUAUUCAAGGAAUUCAUACUAACAACAUUGCAAUCAUGCUCAUCAUUCAAAGAUUUAGUGCCAAACAUUCUAAUGCAUUCUUCUUCUAGCAAUUAGGCACAAUUAUCGGAAUCCUUAUUUUCACGGAAGACAUUAAAAUGAUGAAGCAUAUGAGGCACUCUCAAUUCCAUUUUUUUGUAAUUUUCUUUUAUAAACUAAACUAGUGCUAAAACAAGAAACAAAAAGAUUCGAUUGCAAGAUCUAAAGAUAUACCUUCAAGCACUCACCUCCCCGGCAACGGUGCCAGAAAAGAGCUUGAUGUCUACUACACAACCUUCUUCUUAUAGACGUUGUUGGGCCUCCAAGUGCAGAGGUUUGUAGGACAGUAGCAAAUUUCCCUCAAGUGGAUGACCUAAGGUUUAUCAAUUCGUGGGAGGCAUAGGAUGAAGAUGGUAUCUCUCAAGCAACCCUGCAACCAAAUAACAAAGAGUCUCUUGUGUCCCAACACACCCAAUACAAUGGUAAACUGUAUAGGUGCACUAGUUCGGCGAAGAGAUGGUGAUACAAGUGCAAUAUGGAUGGUAAAUAUGGGUUUUUGUAAACUGAAAAUAUAAAAACAGCAAGGUAGCAAGUGGUAAAAGUGAGCAUAAACGGUAUUGCAAUGAUAGGAAACAAGGCCUAGGGUUCAUACUUUCACUAGUGCAAGUUCUAUCAACAAUAAUAACAUAAUUGGAUCAUAUAACUAUCCCUCAACAUGCAACAAAGAGUCACUCCAAAGUCACUAAUAGCGGAGAACAAACGAAGAGAUUAUGGUAGGGUACGAAACUGUCACGCCCAAUAUGCGACCCUAUCCAAAAGGAACUCGACGGUCCCACCAAGGAUAGACCCGCAUAUUGAAACGCUUUUGCAAGGUGGAUAUCAUUACAUCAACAUUACAUAAUAGUGGGGAUACAUCCAAGACAUACAAUGUCACAUGAAUACAUCAACAUCAUACAAGAUCAACAUCCGACUACGGAUGAAUCAUAAACAGAAACUCAAACGACAUCCACCCUGCUAGCCCAGGCUGCCGACCUGGAACCUAUCCCCUGAUCGAAGAAGAAGCAGAAGAAGAACUCCAAAACAAGAAAGCAUCGCUCUCACGUCAUGAGCAUCGCAAACUUGUACCUGCAACUGGUGGUGUAGUAAACUGUGAGCCACGAGGACUCAGCAAUCCCAUUACCAGGGGUAUCAAGACUAGCAAAGCUUAAGUAGGAAAGGAAGGGAUAAAGUGGUGAGGCUGCAACAGCGACUAAGCAUAUAUGGUGGCUAACCAACGCAAAUGAGAGCGAGAAGAGAAACAAAGGAACGGUCGUCAACUAGUAAUGAUCAAGAAGUGAUCCUGAACUCCUGCCUACGUCAAACAUAACCCAGCAACCGUGUUCUCCUCUCGAUCAACCCCGAAAAGAGACACUCACGGUUACGCACACGGUUGGUGUAUUUUAGAAGAGUUUGCUUCAAGUUUACUACAACCGGAUAUUAACAAAUUCCCAUCUGCCACAUAACCGCGGGCACGGCUCUCAAAAGUUCAAACCCUGCAGGGGUGUCCCAACUUAGCCCAUGAUAAGCUCUCGCGAUCAACGAAUGAUAUUGCUUCUCCCCGGGAAGACCCGAUCAGUCUCGGAAUCCCGGCUACAAGACAUUUCGACAGCAAUAAAACAAGACCAGCAAGACCUCCCGGUGUGCCGACACCCUGAUAGUAGCCGCGCGUAUCUCGUCUCAGGCCACGACCGGAUGAGCAGUACGUACGGCAACCGACGAUACCCCGAGUUGCCUAGGGGCGGCACCGCAAGUGGCUCUGGUUUGGACCAACACUUAGACAAGCAUUGGCCCGGGGGGGCUAAAAUAAAGAUGACCCUUGGGUUAAUUACUCCCAAGGGAAAUGUAGGUGGUGGUGAGGAAAAUGGUAAAACCAAUGUUGGGCCUUGCUGGAGGAGUCUUAUUCAAAGCGAACUGUCAAGGGGGUGCCAUAAAUCACCCGACCGCGUUAGGGAUGCAAAAUCCGGGAACAUAAUACCGAUAUGACGGAAACUAGGGCGGCAAGAGUGGAACAAAACACCAGGCAUAAGGCCGAGCCUUCCACCCUUUACCAAGUAUAUAGAUGCAUUAAUUAAAUAAGAUAUAUUGUGAUAUCCCAACAAGUAAACAUGUUCCAACAAGGAACAACAUCUCCAUGUUCCAACAAGGAACAAACUUCAUCUUCACCUGCAACUAACAACGCUAUAAGAGGGGCUGAGCAAAGUGGUAACAUAGCCAAACAACGGUUUGCUAGGAAGGGUGCAAAAGGUUAGAGGCUGACAUGGCAAUUUGGGAGGCUUGAGCAGCAUGUGAUAGGUAGCGCAGCAUAGCGAUAGAACGAAGCAACUAGCAUAGCAAUGAUAGUAAUGAGAUCCAAGGUGACGGUCAUCUUGCCUGAAAUCCCGCUAGGAAGAAGAACGAGUCCAUGAAGAAGACGAACGGAUGAAGCCGAACCAAGCGUAGACGAAUGAAUCCUCACGAUCGCAAUGAAACAGGAACUAACAAGAAGAAGCACACCACAUAGUAAACACACCACACAUGAACAAGACACGAUGCACAACAAGCAUGAUGCAUGACAAAGCUACAUGCAGCUACUCAUGGCAAGAGAUGAUGCAAACAAGAGCAGCACAUCAAAGCAAGUUUAAAUGAGGCCGGGAACAACAUAUAACAAUUCCGGUAAGUCCUCAUAUGCAAAUUUCGAAAUUGGUCCAGAUCUGAAUAACUUUAUGUUGAAGUUGAUAAACAGCAAGUUAAGAUGCACAAAGAUGAUCUACACGAAAUUCUAGUCAAGUUACAUAUAAAGUUCAUUUAAUUCGGAGCUACGGCCUAGAAGAUAUGAGCAAAACAAGAUGAGCAUGGCAUUUAUGCAAAAUGCAUACAAACAUCAAGCAAACACCUCAAAUCAAGGAUGCAACAUGAUAAUAUGAAACUACAUGCAAAAUCAAGCAAGUUUCAUAUAGAGCACACUCAAAACGGAGCAACGGUUCAACACAUACACACAAUACAAGUUAUAGCAACAAUCUGUCCAAGACAGCAACUAGGCAUAUUGCAAGCACCAAAACACUAUGCUACAGCAUCUCAACAUGAUAACAAAAGGCAUGGGCAUGAUGUAGAGGUAAAGCAUGACAAAACAUAAACACUGAGCUAUCUCCAGAAAUCACUAGAACAUGCUCAAAAGGACAUGGCAAGAUUGCAAAUUACUGACCAUAAGCCAAAAAGGAUCAGAAAAUAUGAUGGCACCCAUGUAAACAUAGCAAGUUAUAUUACAGAUUCAUACAUGGCAGGAACAACAAUAAGUAGGCAUGUUGAUGAGCUUGAACCAGUCACCACAGAGCAAUACAUGGCAUGGCAAGGUAACUCACAGCAAGAAGACAUGGCAUAGAAGCUAUACAUGGCAAGAACAACAUCAUAGCAUACAUGGAUCAACUACAACAACCUUGGCAAAAUUGAAUAACAUGUAAACAAUCUGCCAGGAAACAUUUUAUAGCAAAAGUAGAGCUCGAUUGACUCAAGCUAUGGCACUCCAUAAUUGCAAACAAGGGCAUAGAUGGAUAGAGAAUAACCAUAUGUUCAAAACAUCCUUACUGAAGUAUCUCAAAAUAAGCAUGGAUCUCUCGGUAGCAUCAAGUUUACAUGGCAUAAAAAUAUCAGCAGAACAGGGGCUGAAAUCAGCAACAUCAUGAAGCCUAGUUUGCAUGCUUGUUCUAGUCACCACAUAGAUCACAAAAAUACAUGGCAUACACCCCUGUAAAGAUGGCAUGGCAUAGUACAAAACACAUGUAGGACUCAAGUUCAUAGGAUGCACACAUCAAUCAUGGCAAAAAUUACAAAAGUGCAUGUUCUGAUAAGAAUCUGAAACUAACAUCACAUAGCCCUCUUCUAACAGCAUUUCGGGCAUCAAGAUGAGUUCAAAUGUAAAUGAUGCAAUGAGAUGAAAUGAUGUACUCGUCGAGACGAACAAUUUGACAUAUUACACGCAUGAAACGGAGCAAUAUCCAGAGAGUUAUGGCAUGAUGAAUAUGGCAUAUAAUAUGCAAAAAUCUGGGACUUAGUGGGAUUUUCACCUCCGCGAAGGUCAACGCGGGACGGAGGGAUCCGGGACAGAGGGAUCCGGGCGUUUGGAUCGGCGGCUGGGUGGAUCUGAUCCAGCCCGGGCGGAACCGGGACGAGGCGGUCGCCGGCGGCGGCGAGGAGCUCCGGCGAGGCGGUGGCGAGGCGGGCGCCGGCGAAGGCGGCGAACGGAGGCGCCNNNNNNNNNNNNNNNNNNNNNNNNNNNNNNNNNNNNNNNNNNNNNNNNNNNNNNNNNNNNNNNNNNNNNNNNNNNNNNNNNNNNNNNNNNNNNNNNNNNNNNNNNNNNNNNNNNNNNNNNNNNNNNNNNNNNNNNNNNNNNNNNNNNNNNNNNNNNNNNNNNNNNNNNNNNNNNNNNNNNNNNNNNNNNNNNNNNNNNNNNNNNNNNNNNNNNNNNNNNNNNNNNNNNNNNNNNNNNNNNNNNNNNNNNNNNNNNNNNNNNNNNNNNNNNNNNNNNNNNNNNNNNNNNNNNNNNNNNNNNNNNNNNNNNNNNNNNNNNNNNNNNNNNNNNNNNNNNNNNNNNNNNNNNNNNNNNNNNNNNNNNNNNNNNNNNNNNNNNNNNNNNNNNNNNNNNNNNNNNNNNNNNNNNNNNNNNNNNNNNNNNNNNNNNNNNNNNNNNNNNNNNNNNNNNNNNNNNNNNNNNNNNNNNNNNNNNNNNNNNNNNNNNNNNNNNNNNNNNNNNNNNNNNNNNNNNNNNNNNNNNNNNNNNNNNNNNNNNNNNNNNNNNNNNNNNNNNNNNNNNNNNNNNNNNNNNNNNNNNUCCGGCAGGACACGUGGCGCGCACGGGUUGGAUGGGGGCGGCGGCACGGCCAUUGUCCGGUUGCGGCGCGGACGUGUCCGACGGCGCGAGGAUGAAGAAGACUAGGGUUGGACCCGAAAUUUCGGAGGGGUGCACAUAUAAAUAGGUAGAGGGAGCUAGGAGUGUCCAAAUGAGGUGCGGUUUUCGGCCACGCGAUCGUGAUCGAACGACCGAGAGCAUGGAGGGGAGUUUGCUGGGUUUUGGGCCACUUUGAAGGGGGUGUUGGGCUGCAAGAUAAAAGAGGCCUUUGCGGUUACCCGGUUAACCGUUGGAGUAUCAAACGACCUCCAAAUGGCACGAAACUUGACAGGCGGUCUACCGGUGCUAUACCAAGGCCGCUUGACAAACCUCGGUCUAUUCCAAGACCGUUUAACACCCGCACACGAAAAGAGGCAAAAGGGGGCGCCAGGGGACAUAGGAGUGCCGGAUUGCAAAACGGACAACGGGGAAAAUGCUCGGAUGCAUGAGACGAACACGUAUGCAAAAUGAAAUACACAUGAUGACAUGAUAAAAAAGCAACACGCAAGCAAAUGACAUGGCAACGCCGACGAAUAACUGGCAGACACCUGGCGCAUCGAAUCCGGGGCGUGACAACACUCCUCCACUAACAAGAGAUCUCGUCCCGAGAUCUUAGGCCGAGACGGAAGGGAAAAAGGAAUGAGGUGAAACAAGAACGCAAGAGAAGAAGCAAAGAAUCGAGAUCACACGAGAAGAAGAGAGAAACGACGAGAAUGACAAGAAUCGUAAGCUCACGGAAUCAGAUAGACUAUGAAACCACUCGUUCUAACCGGAGUGGCUAGAAUGAGAAAAAAGAAAUGAAUAAGACUGAAAGGAUUUAGGCAGCACUCCGACUGAACAUGGAAAGAAUAGAACACGAGCUCGAGAGGAUGGAAUGAUACUUGAUGAACUCUUGAAGAAAGAAUUAAAUCAUGAAGAACCACCGUGAAGAACUCCGGUGACAAAAGGAUGAUGAGAUAAAAUGAAGGAAGAAAGAAUAAGAUGAGCCUGCGAUGAAUUAGAUGGAGGAUUCCAACGAGAUGGCCGAGGAAAUUGAACUCCGGAAAAGAGAAGAUGAAAAGACUUGGAACUAGAAUUUAUUCCUCAAGAACAAACUCUAAAGGAAGGGAUUAAUCACUUGGACGAAAUAAGAAUAAGAUUUAUUGUAUACUUAUCCUUCAUCAAAUUAAAUUGAUGAGAAGCAGUGGAUUUUACAUACUACUUAUUCUUCUUGAAAAUGAUUAAGGGAAAUAUGGCGCAAAACUUGAGAAAGUCUUCAUGAACCACCGGUAGAAUUGAAAAGAACGAAUGAAUUAAAAUGAUAGUGAAGGAAAAAGAAUCUUGAACGAACCACCGUACGAAUUUGGAAAUGACUGAUGAAAGAGAAUGAAUCACAGGGAAGAAUUAGAAGACCAAAUAUGUUCGAGGGGAUUUAGAUGCAAAAGGACCAGGAGAUCAUGAGCUGAAUAAAAAAACACUUGAACGAAGCACCGGGAUAAUUAGAGGACGAUAGCUGGAAUGAUGAGGGCGAAGAAUUCUUCUGGAACAAUGGCCUCCGAUGAAACAAAAUGGAAAUCAACUUCUGAAAUACUCCGGAUGGGUAAGAAAGAAUAUCUGACAAACGGAAUAAUUCGAGAGGAUAACAAGAAACUAGAACCACGAAUCUUCGAGAGAACGGGCAAGAUUUAGAGGGAAAACUUUCUUCAAUCUUCAAAUGUUGAAGAGAAACACCACCAAAAUUAAUGAGAUACUCCAGAAGAAUGAAAAGCAAAGAGGUUGAGCCAACAGUGAAAGAAUUUGACAUCGAUCUUGGAAAAGGCAUGUGACUGAUGAUAUUCAUUCUUAUGUCACACUUGAAAAGAAUUAGGAAUAACUCCGGAAUAAUUAGAAGAGUCAGGUAAGAUCCUGGGAAAAGACCUGUGGGUUAGGGCCCACUAAAAGAAAACACCGUUGGAAAGGAUUGUUGAAGAGAUAGAUGAUGCACCGGAACAAUUGAAAUAUUUGACUGAGGUGACAACAUCGAAUUAAUUGGAACACAGACGAAUCUCCUGAGAUGUCUUCGGAACUCCGGAAUGAUAAACUGGCGAGAGGCGAACAAGCAAAGAGAACACUUCGAAGGAAAAGAAUAUGAUUAACCCGAAAAACUUGAAUUGAGUCCACCGGAGAAGAAAAAAGAUGAAGAAUGUCGUACAAAACGAGAAUUCACCGGUUGAGAUAAUUGAGGGAAGACUGAAGAGGCUCCACACGAAUGGAAUUGAUGGUCGGAAGAAACUCAAACNNNNNNNNNNNNNNNNNNNNNNNNNNNNNNNNNNNNNNNNNNNNNNNNNNNNNNNNNNNNNNNNNNNNNNNNNNNNNNNNNNNNNNNNNNNNNNNNNNNNNNNNNNNNNNNNNNNNNNNNNNNNNNNNNNNNNNNNNNNNNNNNNNNNNNNNNNNNNNNNNNNNNNNNNNNNNNNNNNNNNNNNNNNNNNNNNNNNNNNNNNNNNNNNNNNNNNNNNNNNNNNNNNNNNNNNNNNNNNNNNNNNNNNNNNNNNNNNGGAAGGGGAAAUCGACGAAUAUCUUGAAUAGAAAACACCAGUUGAAAUCAUUGAGGAAAGAAAGCAAAGACUUCACACGAGUAGGAUGGAUACUCGAUUACGGACUCCGGUUCCGAGAAGAAAAAGGGGUGGGCGGGUGGGAAAAGAAAACAACUAAGGAUUGAACGCAAAGAUGAAGAGGCUCGAGUCAACUUGACGAGAAAUGCACCGGAUGAAAAGAGCCGAGGAACAACUACCGGAAAACCAACUGCGUGAUCCUAAAGAAAAUUUGAAAGUGAAGAGAACUAAUUCAAAACACCUACGUCAAUAUUCCUUACCAGAGCGACAAAGGGGCUGAGGAGUAAAAAGAAUUCCUACUCUCCGAUAUAACUAGACUCCAAAAACAGUUUUAUUCUAGACUCAACAACGGCCAAACUACACGAUCAAUCAAGGGGGCUCCUAAGGUCGCUCGAGGCUCUGAUACCAACUUGUCA
rnacentral:lncRNA from 1 species